GCUUCGGCCCUCCCCUCACUGGUGUCAACCCACCCUCCCCGACACCACGCUCCCCCUGGUCCCGCCUGCCGCCAGGCCUACCUGAACGGCGUGGACGUGCCGCACAUCUUCCACUUCAACACGCUGGCGGCCAAGGUGCUGGGCGCCAUAGGCAGCGUGGCGGGCGGGCUGGCCAUCGGCAAGGAGGGGCCGUUCGUGCACGCGGGGGCGGCCAUUGCCGCCAUCAUUAGCCAGGUGCGGUUGGCGUCCUGCGUCCGGAGUUGGGUGGGUGUGGGCUUGUGGGUGAUCGUUUUUGUCGUGCGGCGGGCAUGGUGGGUGACCGGGUAGGGGAGGGUGGUGCGUGUGGUGAGAAACAGGGUGGGUACCGUUGGUGGGGAUGACGGCGAGGGCUCGUGACAGCAAAGGUAAGGGAGACCCCUGGCUUCUUGCAGUUGCCCUUGCUCUGGGUUGUCUGAGUCACACUUCAUGUUGCCAACCGCGCUAAUUCGCACAGGGCGGCUCGGGCUCAGCGCGGCUGCCCUGGAUGCGGAACUUCUGGAAUGACCGCGACCGGUGAGCCCGAGCAACCCGGGUAUACGGCGCCCCGCAUGUCACCCAUUCCUGCCUUCUAGUGCUACGCCCAGUCCUUACACGCCCCGACGACCAGCCUUGAUACAGUUGUCCGCACACCAACUGCGAUUGUACGGUAACUGACUUUCCGUGCGUUACGCCGUACAGGUACGACAUGGUGGCGUGCGGCACGGCGGCGGGCGUGGCGGCGGCGUUCCGCUCGCCCGUGGGUGGCGUGUUGUUCGCGCUAGAGGAGAUGACGAGUUGGUGGAAGAACCAAAUGCUGUGGCUGGCCUUCUUCACCACCGCGGGUGAGGGUGGCGGUGGGAGCUGGGGGUGCGGGUGGGGUGCGGGGGGUGGGGCGGGGUUGCCUGUGGGGAUGCCCGUGGGCGUGCGGGUGGUGUACUGGACUCCAGUCCAAAGGAACCAAGACGGGGGUGUGGGACCAAAGGAAGACCAGGGAAUGCGUGUGCGGAGGGAGGCGGUGAGUGAAAGGGGGUGGGGAUUGGGGCGGAGGGUGCAGGGGGCGCGACGGCAUGGCCUGCCAGUUGCCUUAGGAGUUAGGGUUUGAAGCGCGCAAGUGCGGGGAUGGGGUGUAGUUGGUGUGGAUUGGAAUGGAACGGAAUGGCAGCCAUAUCCACCUGACGCCCUGACACCCAGCCCACGACCCCAUCACACGCCCCCUUGCCGCAGUGGUGUCGGUGGCCAUCCGCGUGCUGAUGAAGGCGUGUAGCGCCAACGGCUGCGGGUUCUUUGGAUCCGGCGGCUUCAUCUAUUUUGAGAUCCAGGAGGGCCAGGACACGUACGAGUUCUUCGAGCUGCUGCCCAUGCUGCUGCUGGGCGUGCUGGGGGGGCUCAUGGGCUCGGGUACGUGGCGUGCGUGUCUCAUACACACAUGCAUGUGCAUCAGCGUGUGCGUGCCCCGGCUGGGAGUGUGGCUCUGGCAGGCGUCCGGUGAGCCGGGCCUGAAUAGAAUGCUGGAAGGCCCUGUGGGGCCGCCUGCGAGGGGUUGGUGUCCUCCCUUGCCCGCCCUCCGCACUCCCCUUCCCCUUCCCCUUUCCCCCUCCAACCAGGCUUCAUCGUGAUGAACACGCGCCUCAGCGAGUGGCGCCGCCGCAACCUGGCGCCGCUGGGCCGCCGCGGCCGGCUGCUUGAAGGCCUGGCCAUCAGCGUGCUCACCUCCACCCUGUCCUUCGUGGUCCCGCUCAUGGUGGCCUGCACCGCCUGCCCGCCCGGCUCCGAGGGCGCCUGCCCGCGCACUGACGACCUGCACAGCGGCAACUUCGUGAAGUUCGGCUGCCGGCAUGUGGGCGGCCGCGGCUACUACAACGACCUGGCCACGUUGUUCUUCAACACGCAGGUGGGUGGGCGGGGAGGGCCGGGGAGGGGCGGGGAGGGGCGGGGAGGGGCCCGGAGGGAGGGCUUGGGGUGCAGGGAGGGGUGCGGGAGCGUAGGUUGUAGAUACAAGCCCCAACUGUGGUGGUGGUGUGGCUGGAUGGCAUGAAUUGCCUUGAAUGCCUCACAACGGCUGCUGAACAGGACGACGCGAUCCGCAACCUGUUCGCGUCUAAGACCAAGCGCGAGUACACAGUGGCGGCGCUGUUCACCUUCACCACCAUCUUCUACUUCCUAGCCGCCCUGACGUACGGCAUAUUCGCGCCCACCGGCCUCUUCGUGCCCAGCAUCCUGUGCGGCGCCGCCUACGGCCGCCUGGUGAGCGGGGUACUGUGUCCGCGUGUGUGUUAGAGAGCAGGUGGGAAGGAGCACAAAGGGCUGUAAUCAGAGCACGUAUGGGCUCUGCACGGGCUCGCCUGCUGCCCCGGCGCUGCGGUGCGACCGCGCUUUGGGUUGUUGACGUCUAGCGCGUUCCGGUCGCACGGCGCGGCACGAUGUGGCGCGCGCAUGCUGCAGCGCACCGCCGCGGCGUCCGCUCGCCUCCGUGCGUCCUUGAAGGAUGCAGGUUACGGUGCCCAAUGUGCCGUAGUACGGUACUGACCUUGGCCCGGGAUGCUUCCUCUGCUGCCCUUCAGGUCGGCAUCUUCGUUGCGGACAUGCACCCGGGGCACUACAUAGACGAGGGCACGUACGCGCUGCUGGGGGCCGCGAGCUUCCUGGGGGGCGCCAUGCGAAUGACGGUGAGACACGGUAGCGGAGAUUUAGAUGGCGGUGCUGUGUCUGCUUGGGCGGGCGGGUGGGCGAGGUUUUGAAGUUUUGGCGUGGCGGCUACGGACUGACUGACUGGCUGCCGUCGUGGCGGACUGGGCGUCGUGAUGGGGUGGUGGUGGCUGGGGAGGUGGGGUCUGUGCCAGGUAGGGCGCGCCUGCUGGCUAGCCUACAUCACAACAUGUGCUCCCUGCCACCCCGUCGCGUGCUGCAGGUGUGUACAUGUGUGUUGUUACUGGAGCUAACGAACAACCUGGCGCUGCUGCCGCUCAUUAUGCUGGUGCUGCUGGUGGCUAAGGUGGGAGGCGGCGAGGGGCAGGGCGGGGCCCGAAGCGUUUGAUGGCCGAGGGCGCAGAGACGGUAAAAAUGUUAAUGACGUCGUUGCAGUCCUACACGUGUCGCCUGGUUGUACCUUGCAAAUCCGCGCCAUACACGCCAGAGGCCCGCGCGCCCAAUGUCCGCUCCUUGCGCCGUGACCUCUCAUGACCCCGCCACCCUGUCACCCCGCCACCCCACCAACCCACCACCCUGUCGCCACGCCCUAUCACCCUGUCACCAGGCCGUGGGCGACGGCACGGGCAUCAAGCCCAUCUACGAGGUGCAGAUGGAGAUCAAGGGGCUGCCCUUCCUGCAGCCGCAGCCCGAGGCCUUCAUGCGCCACAUCACGGCCAAGGAGUGCUGCGGCCGGCCGCCCGUCACAUUCAACCGGGUGGAGAAGGUGCGCGCUGGCAGCAGGCGCCCGCAACGCCACCGGGCAUCAGGCACCGGGCAUCAGGCACCGGGCAGCAGGCCAGCGGCCCCACUGGCUCAAGAUUAAGCAUGCCCGUGCCGUGAACGUGUAGUACGGCAGACAAACUUUGUCGGCGCCUCCCCUUCCCAUGCAGGUUCGCUCCAUAGUGGAGACGCUGCGCUCCAACGGCCACAACGGCUUCCCGGUGCUGCACCGCGGCCCGGACGGCGAGCGGCUCAUCUGCGGCGUGGUGCUGCGGCAGCAGCUGCUCACGCUGCUGGGGAGCGGCAGCCGCAGCAUGCAGCCCUCGCCCACAGUCAACGACAGCAGCAGCAGGGCGGCGCUGUCCUACAGGUGCAUGCUGGCCGUGCGGGGCGUUAUGUUUGGGUGGCCGUGUUUGGUAGUGCGUGUGCUGCUGUGUCGUGUUGAUACAAUAGCGAGUCGGUACAAGGCAGUGCGAGUCCUGCCAGCCAUGAAGGUUUCCAAAGCUUUAUAUCUGCAUUAGCGCAUGCCUGAGCUGUCCACGCAGCACCGCGUUUAUCCGCUUCCUGCCGCGCUAACUGCGCCCGUCCCGCCCCCGCGUCUCCGCCCGUCCGCCUCCGCCUCCGGCAGUGUUCCCGAGUUCUCCAAGCCCAUGUCUGACCCUGCGGAGGGGUCUGCAGACGGCGUGCUGGCCCCGGGGGCUCUGGGCGAGGACGUGCUGGAUCUGUUCCUGGACCUGGGCCCCUUCCUCAACACCAGCUACCACGUGGUGCAGGUGGGCGUGAGGCGGCGGGUGGCGGAGUCAGCGGGUGCAGGUGCGGGUGCGGGAAGAGGCAGUUGAUGUCCAUUUGGCGGGGGGCGGGGGCGUGAGCGCGGAGAGGCAGCUUAUUCCGGGGGGGGCGGGGGGCGGGGGGUGUGGUUGUGGGUGCGGGUGGACAGGCACGUGGCAGGAGGGGGAUUACAUUUAUGAUGAUGAAGUGAUGGCGUAGCCAGGAACAGUAGUAUAGCAGACGCGGUGUUGCCGACCGGCGGAGGGGCGUCAGGGGGGAGGGAGCGGGGUGUCCCGGCGCCAACGUGGACCCCAGAGGCAGCCAUGGAAGCAGAGGCCGGUGGAAGCAGGCGCGUGCGGCACAGGUGGGCCCCCCCUGCGCGCCUGCGCUGGGGCGCCUCGCCUGGCAGCGAGGCCAUGCGCUACCUGCUGCUCACUGCGCCCUCUGCAUGCUGGUGGUUGCGGCAACCGCUUUCGGACGCUGUGUUUACCGCGCAGGAGGACGCGCCACUGUCCAAGGUGUACCAGCUGCUGCGGACGCUGGGGCUGCGGCACAUCUGCGUCGUGCCAAGGUGCGUGCCAUGCCCGGCCGCCCAGCGCAUUCCGUUGCUCCCGCGACUGCUUCUUCUCGCCCUCCAAUUCAAAGGCUUGCAGCUGCACUUGGCACUGCGUCAGCAUCCUGCCGCAGAGAUGCGUGUAUCCAACCCUUUUAUGCAUAUGCGUGUGUGUGUGUGUGUGUGUGUGUGUGUGUGUGUGUGUGUGUGUGUGUUUUGUGUGUCCUGUGUCCUCAUGCGGUCACCCACAGGGCGCACGAGGUGGUGGGCAUGAUCACUCGCGCCGACCUGCUGCCUGACGCCCUGGAGAAGCGCUACAGCGGAAUGCCCGGCCACUACACCACAGACGGCCUCAACAUAUCCGUGCACACGCCAGGGACCGCCGGCAGCGGCUCAGGAGGCAGCGGCCACGCCCCGCUCAGCCCAGGCGGAGGCGGAGCGGGCGGCAGCCGGGCCACGACGGGGGCAGGCGCGGGCGGGCCGGCCGGGUCAGGAGGGGAGGGCGGCGGGCCAGGCGGCUCCGCGGCAGCGGGGCAAGUUGGGAUCCGCGCAGACACGCCCACUGCGUCGGUCGCGGGCGCAGCUAGCGCCUUUGCGCCGGCGGCUGGGCAGGCGGCAGACGCUGCCACGUCAGCGAGUGCGGCGGCCGCGACCAUUGGUAACCUGAGCCGCCGUGUGGCGGCGGCGGGCCGCGGCUUUGGAAUGCUCAGCACCGGCGGGCCAGGUACCAUUGCCGGGGGCGGCGGGGCGGGCAACAUUGAGCUGCGGACCACAUCUCCAACUGGGAGUGUCAACUUGCCGACAGGCCGCUGAAGGAGGUGGCAGGUGGUUAGGCUACGGGGUACUGUACAUCGGAAGCUGUAAGGAGGUCUCGUUAGCGUACUAGCUAUUAGUGCUUGACACUCGUCUGCAUGCAGGCGUGUGUGCUGGGUGCAGUGAUAUGCAGUUAAGAAAGGGGCAUGCACAUGGCAGAGGGCGAGGAAAGGGAUAUUGUACUGGUCCGGGUCAUCUAGGCGACUGCCAUGUGUAUUACAACCGAGCGUGCUAACGGACAAAUAGCAUCAACAUGGCAUAGCGUAUGCUAUCUCAUGAUUCCGACAACCCCCAAAGCGCCAGGAGCGUGGAGAGUGGCGGGCGGUCGUCAAGUCACAGUGGGUUAGGCAGAGAUCUGAUGGGCAGCCACGCAGUCCGCCCACGAGCUUUUUGUGAUGGCCGCCGGCGGCGGGGCCGGGCUGAGAGCCUGAACGGCGCUAGCAGGGCGUGGGGCUGAGGGUGCACGUGUCGAUUGGCGGCGAGUGACGUGACUAGUUUGUUAGCUGCAGGUUAGCACGGACUGUGCACCCCACCCAACCGGCCACGUCCGGAUUUGCGGGGAUGCCAAAGGCCCCCAACAUAGAGGCGUGUGCUUAGUAGGCGCCCGCGUCAAGGUGGCUGGGUUGAUAACGACCCGGGAGGGCCCUUUUCCUGCCUCCCUAAGGCAACCACCUCCUUGUUGUGAUGAGAUGCGCAUUGCGUAGAGAAGCCAGGAUAGGAUGCAGUGAUGCACGGCCAGCACAUGCGGCUGGCCUCGAGGCUGUCAGUAAGUUGCCUUGGUUACAGUGCCCUCCACGGGUGCGACAUGCUCCCAUGGUGUGUUAGGGCCAUCCGUGGCUCUCGCCAACGCGGCGUCUCCACACGCGAGCAAUGUGUUGAUCGUUACAAGAGGGACGUGCUGACGCGUUUACGAGCCUGUGACUUGGAAUGCAAUCACCCUGCUCUGGAUUCCACUAGCUGGCUGCGCGUGGACAGGGAAGUGUGAAUGGGCAUCGGACCCUUGAAGAGAGCGAGCACCGUAUUGAAAGUUGUCCCUUGCCGGGCUCACGGACGCCUCCUGUGACUCUUAUGCUCGCGUAAGCUCUCAUCCACUGAUGCGGAUUUGCGCGUCCUCCGUGCUCCCUUCACCAUUUGGCCGUUGGCACUUGGACCUGGGCAUCCGGUGGGUUGCCCCUUGCAUACAUGGCUACGGCUUGUCAGAAUGUCAGUGCGAUGGACCACGCGAAGUGGGCAGGAGGAGUUGUCAGUGCGCCACAGCGGCACAGGUUAAGCACACUGGUGCGGCGGUGCCGAACCAUACUCUGCGCUCAGCCUCCACACAUCUCGACCAGACUCCAGGAUACGGUACACACACCCGGGUCCUCGACUUAAAAGCGACGCAGACCACCCUCGUCUGCAAACUUCCAGCCAGCCAGCAACUUGCCGGUACAGCAACGCCCGCGUUGGACCAGUCGCGCGCUCAUGUACUGCCAUCGCAAAUUGUUGUUUGCCAUGUGCUGGGGUCUGAGAAUCAGCUGCACCCAACGGGAAUUCACCAACCUGCCUUAACCCUGUCCACUCGCACACCCUUGUCUGCGACAAGCGAACCCCGCUGGCCUGAUCCUCCUCGCCUCCACCUCCACCUCCGCACAACACCUGUGGCCGCAGCCACCGCCUCGCACCAUCGCCCCUUCUCUCCGCAACCUGCACCAGCCUCCUGGCCUCCUAGCCCCCCGCUUAGUAUUUGAGCGGCGGCGGCAUGGGCCACACCUGCUCGCUCUCCAGGUCCACAUUGACAGGCGCGUCAAAAAUGUCCAGGUACUCUGCCACAGUGGGCGCGUCCUGCACAGAGCACCGGUAAAGGUUGUUACCCCUCAUCAGGCAAGUGCCAGUAACAAGGGAUCGUAGUCCUUGUGGACGGCACGGUGACACGGCCCUUGCCAAACACCCAGUCGCCUCGCGCUCGCCCACUGUCCAGGUGCUAGGAAUCCAGCAGGAGCUCACGCACCUCGGUGGGCGUUAGCGACAGCACCAGCUCCUGCGCCGGCACGUCCUCCAGCGACGCGUCCACGUUGCUCAGCUUGCGGCGCGUCUCGGGCUGCACACAUACGCACGGGCAGAGGCGCUGUGGGAGUUAGGACGCGGAAUGAGGCCUGCCCCGACCUCAACGAGGAUAUGGCAGAUUAGCGUAGCACGCACAAGUUGUUCGGAGCGUGCGGUGGAAGUAUGUUGCCCCCAUUAAGGGCUGGCGGCAUGUCACCAUGGGCACUGAGCCGAAGCAGCCUCACUCACGUCCAUGGGCGCAAGCAGCUCCGGCCCGGCCUUGCGGAGGAAGGUGUUGAUGUCGGUGGCGCCCUUGACGGCCCUGCAGGGACCACACACAGCGCCACUUCACCGCCGCCCCUGCUGCAUGGACCGUCCUUACCAUAUGCGACAGCGCGUGGUCAGAAGCCUUUCCCCGGCCCUUCCGCAUGCUUCACGCCCUGCCGCGGACUAUUGCGCCUCCCAGCACAAAAGCUCGGCACAAGCAAGCCGCUGGGGUGCAUCAACACCCUGCAAACGCGUUGCAUGCGAGACGCACCCGAACGCGUCCAGCGGGUCCAUGGACUCCACAGUGCUGCCUGAGGGCAGGUACGCCACAUACCUGCAGCGGUGGGGGCAGCCACAUUCAGGCAGCUGCUAAAGGGCCUAUGUGUGCGUGCACGCUGCCGUGUGAACCUGACCGCCCUCCCCCCCCCCAGAGCAAGGGUCUGUUGCCGACUGCUACCGCCCAAGCGGCCGGGAGCACCCUUCCCAUACGCAGCUGUGUGCUGGACGGGCACGCAUGGCACCCCCUCUUUCUGGAUCUCCCUCACCAGCGCGACUGUUUCCUUACGGCAUUGGUUCACAGUUAACCCCCUCACCAGCCGUUGAAGUGGCGCCCCGGCACGUCCUCGCAGCUGGACACCACCUGCAGGGCCACAACAUGCGUGGCGCUAAGCAGGACGCCCAGGAAAGGCCCCGAGGCCUCCGCGCCACCAUGCAUUCAAACAUCUUGCAGCGUCCGCCAAGUACAUGAAACACUUUAUUGGAGCGGCUCAAUCGCGCACCCGUCGUGCAACACGGUACUGUGACACCGGCUUCCUUGACGCCCGGGACCCCUGCCUCACCCGUGUCUCCGCCAACCGCACGUCUGCCCCGUGGUUCAGCACUUCCCGCAGGACCGCCAUCAGCUGCGGCGUCUUGCCCUGCAAGAGCGACAUGUGUGGGUGUGACGUGAGGUGAUUGCCAUGAUGGACGUGCGUGCCUGCGUGCGUUCGUGACCCGCACAAAACAGGUGAGCCUGCCUUCCAUGGACCCCGAGAAUCAGAGCACCCAUGCCCUAUCCGGCCGCCCAUACCUCGAUGACGUGAAUGUAGCACAGCGGGUAUACCAGCAGGAACCCCGUGAUCUCUCCCUCAACAGAGCUGUGCUUCUCUAUCACCCUGGACAGAAGCGCUGCGACACCAAUGAAAGAAGAGGCCAGAUGGUAAGUUGUCCCUCGGGGCAAGCCCUUGUCUGCCUGGUUGGCGCGUUCCCCAGCAAGCAGCAACUCAGGUGCGUGACCAGUGCGCACCUCUUACGCUAUCCGAGCUGUUCUGCCUUUGCGCUAGUCGUGCCACGUAGACAAUCCGGGUGGUGAGGACGGUCUGCGACAGCAAGGUGGGCCGGGUGUCAAAGGUGCGGCAAAGCCACGCGUACCGUGUAGGGGCAGCGCGAGCUUACCCCCCUCCAUUCCGACAUACCUUCCCAGAUUUUUGGACUCGAUUGAGAAUUACGUCCAAAAGCGAGUCGCGUGGCCCCGCCUCGAGUUGGCUUCGGAGCGUGUCAGCCAUUAUUGCCGCGACGCUUGCCCGCGAACUCCGCAAGGAUGGCAAACCAGCUACUGCUUAGCGAUUGUAUGGGAUAUCUUAACUAUGUAGUCUACACGGACAGGCAAACCUCGGUCAACUCCUUUAGCAAGUGCUUCGAGUCGGGAACUACAAUAUAGGGUGUAUAUACAAGGCGCAGCAAGUCUCAGGUAUCAAACCUGCUGCUGCUUACGGGAACUCGAAGGAAAUGUUGCAGUGUUGCUAGUUUUGGUAAACCCGCCGAUACUUUCACAAAAAUCCUUCCAUACUCAGAGUUAAAUGCUUUUGCCUACAAUCUUGUGAAAGUAGAUGGAACCUUUGGCACCCAGGGAUUCAUGGGACGCCCAAGAGCCAACCCAACCUCGGAUACUCCUGAUGCCCCAAGCCAUAACCUCGCAUAGCAGCUUUCUGCCACCACCCGAGGGACAUGCAUACGAAAACGCUGUGCAGGUGUGUCGUGAGGGGCGACCGGCGACGAGGGGUGCCGGCGGAGGCUUGGGCUGCCACCUUGGAGCUGUGCCUGUGCGUAAGCCCUCAGGCAUUGGCAUACUGAAUUCCCGAGCUAAGUACAGACGCUGCUUGAGGCGACUGCGAUAGCCACCUGGGUCCCCGAGGCUUGCACGAACAACCUGGGCCCAGCUGGUGCGGUACAUGCGGUGGCAUCAGUUAGCAUCAGGUAGCGGAAUUUCGAGUUGCAUAAGCUUUCAGACUAAGUGGCCCUCAUAGAUACGGUGCGGCCGUUCUCAUUUGGUCACAACCUUGUACGCCGAGCAAACUCAGGCAAAAAACACAGCCACCGGCGCCAUGGCCAAGCGUGCGUCUCAAGCACGCCCCCCUCCCGUGGCCCCCUCCCCACAUCGGCAUUACCCACCGCUAUUUCCCCGUCCAAACAGCUCGUGCCAACCCUUGCAAAGCCUGCCAGACUUACUGUAAGCUAAGUACCAUGGACAGCAGUGCACGAGAGCGAUAUCGUCACAGAGCUGGACGCGCAUGGCGCAACAUGGGCAACGUGCACGAUCGGUGCAUUUGAUUCACCCAAUGACAGUCCCACCCAAAAGUACAGUAGUUGGUGCUUCGCUUUCACCGUAUCGCAGUGUUCCUGAUGCGCUUCGCAUGUAGCCGCUCGUGUUCAGCCGCGUGCAUGCCCAGAAGCCUCAACGUGAUAAGUGAUGACUCUCAUACCAUGCCCGUCGUGCAUGCCCGUUGUGGCAACCAUUUCACCAUGACCGGACCUUCGAAUCUGGCCAGAAGCUAAUACUACUCUGCUAAUACCUCAACAAGCACGCCAGGCCGCUAAACCCCUUUGGUCAUCAAUCAUUGGGGCUAGCGUCCUUUCAAGCACCCGUAAAAGGUCUUGGUGGCCCGGCCAUGUCACCGUGCGCAAGAAUUGUCAGGCUGGCGUGAGAGCGGCCAACGCCGAAUCGCCACAUGGACAAGCUCCGCCGACGUACUAGACUCGCUAAACAAUGCUCGACUGAGUCCAAACAAUGUGCACACUUACAACCGAAUGACUAAUAUGGGCGGUGACGCAGGAGCCCGGUACGACUGCACCGCUACCGGCCUGGGUGGUGCCUAUGGGUGCUCCUCGGCUGCGGGAUGCCAGUUAUCAACAUGGACGCUACGGCGAGCACCAGCCGCUGCUGCCCCUGCCAAUGCUGUCUCUCAUUCGGCCCGCCUCCACGCAUUCUACCUGCGUCACCGCAGCUCCUUUCCAGACUGUUGCUGCGAGUUGUGGCUGCUGUGUCCGUGCUUGCUGUUCUGUUCUUUUGUGUGCUCCCGCGCUGCCACAGCCUGCCGCGUCUGCUGCGCGCGCGCGGCCACAGCCGCCUUCGAUGGCCUCCGCUGCUUUCGCGCAGCCGGCGGUUUGUGCCGGAAGGAGUACGCCAGGCCGGCGAAGACGGCGCCGAGGAUGGGCGCACUCCAGAAGACCAGGAAAUGCUCGAUGUCAUUUUGGCGCUUGUAGUGCAUGUGCCAGGAGAAGCUCUGCGCAUUCCAGACAACACAAGUUGGGGUAUUCAAUCUAGUCGGGCGCCCCCUGCUAGUCUGCUAUAUGCUAACAGUGCUGACAGUACUGUCAUGCAAGGGGCACCGGUGAACCAGGGCUUACCACGAACGGGUUCAGUGACGGUCCGGUGAAGUAGUACCCAAUCCAGCUCUGUUGCAUGCAAUGCAAAUGGAAGCGUUGUCAACCAGGCACACACAUGAAGCUCGCCUGGAGCCACUGCACCAGCAAGCCCACCGUUGCCCGUCCCGACAGCUGAUAGGCGCUCACCAGUACAAUUGUGGAUACCAUGGGCGUCCACGUUUUGAGCAGCGAGCUCUCCGCCUCUGUUGACCAACAGGCAAGGAAGGGACAUGUCAACUCCUGGCCAUCCAAGCACAGCACACGCCCAUUUGCUCCAGCAAUUGCCUUGACACCUCCCGCUGGCAUUACCUUGCUUUGGCUGCGCACGCACUCACCCAGCGACAUGAGGAACACGUAGUUCAGCACGAAGCUCAAGGUGCCCUCCGCGGCGAAGCCCACUUCAAAGGCCACGCCCUCCUUGAUUCCGCCGGACAGCGUGUGAAACUUACUGCAGGGCGCCAACAGCCACAGCCGCCGCGGCAGCCUUAUAUGCGGGGUGGUUAUGUAACCGUUCUACCGACACGGUCUGUAGCACUAGGGCAUUGUGUGACUCUACCCCAAAGGGAGCACGAAUCAUCCGGCCUCGAUGGCACCGCCCAUGCAUAGGUUGUCCUGUAAAUCCUCACAAGUAGACACAGCAUUCGCGCCCCAUUCCGUGCUAAAGCUUCGUUUGCCCGCUCACCCCUGCAGAAACUCCGGUAGAUGCGUUUUGGCGAAGAUGCUGCCCGCUAUCGCACCCGCCAGCUGGCCGCACUACACGGACGUGGGCAGGGUUGGACGGAUGGAAAGAGUGGGGUGCAGGUUAAGAAGUGUUGACAGCAUCUUGUCCAGUAAGAACGCAAGACGUGAAGAGGCAGGGGCGGUCACACCAAGUUGCUGACACCACAGUAGCCUAGAUGAAGUGUCAAACCAUCAACGUAGACUCUGCUGCUAGGAUGGGUGCAGUCCAACCGUUUGGGUGCGCACCAUUCGGAGCAGGUGGGACGUGGCCGUCCCAGAUCCGCUGCUGAGGAGGGCAAUGCUGUUGAUAGGGUUGAACAACGCGCCGCCGAAAAUACCUGCAGGCGUGCCGUGGUCGCCUCAGCCACUCCGGUAAGGAAAUCCUGACAGGGUUAACAGCCUGCACCGCCGCCUUCAGGUGUUAAACUGGUCUACGAUAAGGCCACGACCGGUACUGUGUAACCGACCCCAGUCUACCGCGCGCGUUGCGCUUUGGCCCAGCUGCACGCCACCACGCACGCACCACAUAGCGGCCCAAAGAUUGUCAGGGCCGAGAUCAGGACGGCGAUACCCAGCACGAGUUCAUCCAGGCCCGUCUGCUCAGCCAGGUAUUCACUCGCCUGCGGUGAAGUCCGAGCACGGGAGGAGUGCUCGACACCGAGUGCCAAACCAACAGGGACCCCCCCCUUUUCAGCCGCCAUGCGCUUGCCCGCCCCAUGCUGACAGCGGCUUCAGGCAUAUCAGGCAUACCUCUGCAAAGCAGCUUGAUGCCACCACCCAGAGGGACGUGCACAUAAAAUCGCCAAACACGAGGGUCGAGAGGGGUGCCGGGGGAGGCUUGGGCUGUGCCUCAGCGACUGGCUUCCCCAUGGAUCGAUUACUGUCAAAACUAUGAGAAGCGGAGAGGUUGCUGGGCGCAACUGCGACAGUCAAAGUGAAGGCUCUUGCAGAGACAGGAUAGUUCUCUCUCUAUGCGCACAAAACUAGGCCUAAGCCUACAAAAGCAAUUUGGCCCUGCAGUCGGAAUAACCAGAAGGUUUGUGAAUGGCCCCAUGCGGAAACAUGGGGAACUCGUCCUGCCCCGCCCGCACUCUUGCGCCCCUUAACGACCUGCAUAGCAGGGCCAGCAGUUCAAGCUUGCUGAUUAGGGCCACCGAAUAGGACAGAAAUCCUGUGCGCCGCAAGCUCCAUCAGCACAAGCCUCCCUUUCUUUGCAACCCUACCAAAAUGGAGGACAAGCCUAUUGAGAAGAUGACCGUGCUUGAGCUUCAGGCGGAGCUGCGCAAGCGUGGACUGAACGAGAAGGUGCGCAAGCCUGAUAGUGUACCACGCACCCGCUGUGCAUCUAACGCCUCACUCUCUUGCGUGCUACAGGGCCGCAAGGCAGAGCUGCUUGAGCGCCUACAGGAGGCAAUGGGAGUGGACACGGGCGGAGAUCAGCCAGAUGCUGAGGAAUCUGCGCCUGCCGAGGAUGCUGCUGACGCUGGUGCUGCUGCGCCUGUAGAGGAAAAGCCAGUGGAGGAGGCGGCUCCGGCAAGCGAGAGCACACCCGCUGCACAGGCGAGUUGGUUGGUGGCGAGGGCGCAGUUUCGAGCACCAUUACAGCGCCGGGCGUAGCAUACCUCGUGCAUACUCACAUUGUCCAUCUUUCUGUUUACACCAGGCUGCGCCAGCGGAGGACGCCAAAGCAGACGAGGAGAUGGGCGAUGCCUUGGUCAAGCCGGACCCAGAGCCGGAGGUCGUGCCGUCCAGCGCUUCGGACCCAGUGAAGGAUGAGGCCGCCGCAGAUGCCGGAAAGGGCGGCGAGGACGGGGAGAAGGCGGACGAAGAGGCCGCCAAGGACCAGGGCGAGGGCGCUGAGGGGCAGCAAACAAAGGAGGACAAGGCGCCAUCCAAGGAGGCAACGCCGGCUGUUGACUACGGCCCCGAGGAGUGGGAGACGAUGGACAUCCCCAACGAGUUCAAGCCGCUGCCGUUGUUGCGGGUGGGUUGGAGCGCGCUGCUUCCUGUGAAGGGUUCGGGUCGGAGGCUAGCCCCGGCACCAACUGGACUUGAGUAGCGUGUCCGCAAGCGGAUGCCUGUGAUGCAGCAUGUGCCGCUGCAUCUGCCCGCGCCCGCUGCCUUACCCCUUCCUCACACUCCCAUAAGUUGCCCACUCCGCCCGCCCGGCCUUGUCCACCGAUUGCAGGUGCGCAACAUCAAGCUGGAGGCCAGCCCCGACGACGUGAAGCAGGUGUUCGAGGAGCUGGGCAUUCCGGUGCAUAGCAUCUUCUUCGACAAUGUGGAGCGCGGCCGCAAUGUGGCGCUGAUGCGCCUCAUGCCGCCCCCGCUGCCCUGGUCCCUCAGCAAGGAGGACCUGGCCUCGCACCCGCUGGAUGAGCCGCUGAAGCGCUACACGGAGGCCAAGGAGGCGGAGGCGAAGGAGAAGCGCGCGGCAGAGGAGGCCAAGCGCGCCGCCGAGGCGGCGGAGGCCGCGAAGGAGGCGGCCGCGGCGCGGGAAGCGGCUGGCGAGGGCGCGGAGGGCGGCGAGCAGCAGGAGGGUGGGGAGAAGGCGGAGGAGCAGCCCAAGCAGGAGGGCGAGCAGCAAGCGGCGGCGGAGGCGAAGGACGAGCCGAAGGACGAGCCCAAGGACGAGCCGAAGGAGGAGCCCAAGGAGGAGGGCAAGGAGGAGGGCAAGGAGGAGGCUAAGGAGGAGGCCAAGCCGGCCGAGGAGGGAGCGCAGGCCAAGGCCGCGGAUGGCUCGGCUGCCACCGCCGCCGCCGCGUCUCCCGCGCCGGCUCCUGCCCCCAAGCCGGCGCCGCUGCACAUGACCUUUGACGACGGCCGCGGCGACGGCGAUGUGCUCAAGGUGGCGCGCUACACGGCCAUGCGGCUCAACUCGCUGCCCUACCCGCUUGGCCUGCACGGCGACCGCCUCAUGAUCGACGCGCCGUCGCUGCAGUGCACGCUCUACCUGGGCAACGUCACGCAGGACGACGACGCGGCACUGCGGGAGGAGAUGGAGGCGCUGGGCCGUGUGUGCCGCUGCCACAUCAUGCGCGGCGGCUCGGGCCUGACCCGGGUGCGUGCACAUGCACGAAGGGAGCGGGGGACUACAUCAUAAUUCAUUCCGAAGAAGUGAAGGGGGGUUGACGGGUGUGUGAGGGCUGUAAGGGCCGGUGUGGGGAAUGCGAGGGCAAGGACUGGGUGCCGGGCGCCGGCUGAUCCUGUAAGUUAUCUCUGUAGCAACACUGCCACAGCGACGCAGUUCUGAACGAGCUGGCUGCGCUCUGCAGGGCUACGCAUUUGUGGAGUACGCCACGCCGGCGGAGGCGCUGAAGGCCAAGGAGUCGCUGGAGUCGCAGAGCCGCAAGGCGUUCCAGGUGCGCGCGUUUUUGCUAGUAUGGCCAUUGACUGAAGGCGCUUGCAGCCGGUAUACUAAUGCCGUGUGCGGGCAUGUUGGGUGCGUGGGGUGAACCACUGAACUAACUUAGCGUUAGCUGCCGUGGCAUGAGGAUGUGCGGCCAUGUUUGGGCGUUCUUUUCACCGCCAUGCCCUCAACGUUUUCGCACCUCCUAACACAGGACCUCAUGACCACCAAGAACGACCUGCAGCGGCCGCGCGGCAUGGGUGCCCUGGCCGCCGCCAAGGCCAAGGCGGAGGCGGAAGCUGGCGCGGGCGCGGACGGCGGCGAGGCGCCCGCCAAGUCGGAGGCAGACACAGACAUGAAGGACCAGUCGGGGGGUCCUGGCGGCGAGGAGGCCCCGCCGGGUGUGGGCGAGGAGGGCGCGGGCAAGGCAGAGGCAGAAGCGAAGCAGGAGGAGGACCGUGAGCAGCAGCAACAGCAGCAGCAGGAGCAGCACGACGGACAGGAUAAGGGUGGCGACGACAGCGCGGAGGGCAGGGAGGCUGCGGCUGCGGCCGCCAAGGUGCUUCGCUGCGAGUUCACGCACACCAAGCGCGUCCAGGACAUCUUCUCGCGAAACCUGUACCUCGCCAGCCUGCCCAUGGUGGGUGCACAACCAUGUGCAUGCCAGCUGACAUUAUCACACAAUUGCGCACGUCUAGCUAGGUACACUGCCUGCGGAUCCCCGGUAACUGCUCUUGCUGAAGCUACGGUAAUCUUCUGUUCCGGCCGCCCGCUGUACCAAGGUGCCUGGCUUCAACUUCACUUCUUUUUAGCUAAGCAUGACUGCAAACCCCUCCUCUUCUGCCGCGCAGUCCUUCAGCGACGAGCACCACCUGCGCAAGGUGUUCAGCGAGUUCGGCCCCGUCACCUCCGCCUCCAUCACGCGCGGCCCCCAGGGCUACUCCAAGGGCUUCGGCUUUGUGGAGUUCAUGCGCUCCGAUCAUGCCGCCGCGUGAGUCGAUGCUCUGCCCCCCUGCCUAGUUCCAUGCUACUGCUGUCUGCGCUUGCCUCACUGGGGAGGUGUUGCCUCUUGCGUAGCGCAGUGCUUCGGGCUCGUGCACAGCGCAACGCAAGCCAUCCUGUGACACUGCUGCUUUGGUUUACGCCCUGCGCAGCGCGCUGCAUGCCCUGGACGGCAACGAGGCGCCGCAGAUGGGCAAGCUGGCCAUCUCCUUCGUCAACCCCUCAAAGCACACCGACCGCCAGCGCACCACGCAGGGCCCUGGCGGCCGCGGUCCCGGCCGCGGCGGCUACAACAGUCCCGGUGGCCGCGGUGCCGGCAACAUGAUGACGCCUGGCUUCCGCGGCGGGCGCGGCGGUGCGCCUUACUACGCCGGCCCGCCCGGCGGGGCGCGUGGCAUGUACGGCGCCGGCCCGGCAGGCCCGUACGGGAUGGGCCCCAUGAUGGGCCGCGGCGGCGGCCCCUACGGCCCGCGCGGCGGCAUGAUGGGCGGCCGCGGCGGUUACGGUGGCGGCUAUGGUGGCGGCUACGGCGGUGGCUACGGCGGCGGCUACGGCGGCGGUGGUUAUGGCGGCGGCGGUUACGGCAUGGGUGGGAUGGGCAUGGGCGGUGGAAUGGGCAUGGGCGGUGGAAUGGGCAUGGGCGGAUACGGUGGUGGCAUGGGCCGUGGCGGGCAGGGCGGCUACGGCGGCGGCUACGGGUCAGGGUACGGCCAGGGUGGGUACGGCGGCUCGGGCGGUGCGGAUUACGGGGCGUCUGGUGGUAUGGGCCAGCGGUCGCAGCAGGGCGCGACGCCGGUGUCGCCCACAGGGGUCUCGGGCGGCGCCGGCUACGGCGCCACUGGCGCGAGCGGAUACGGCGCCAGCGCCGGCCAGCAGUCAGGCGCCGCCGCCGGCAGCACUGGCUACGGUGCUAGCUCCGGCUAUGGUGCGAGCCAGGGCGCCUCCGGCUACCAGCAGCAAUCGCAGUACGGCGCACAGGCGGGCGGAUACGGCGCCCAGCAGAGCUCCGGCUAUGGCGCUCAGCAGCAGUCAGGCUACGGGCAGCAGCAGAGCUCCGGGUACGGUGCGCAGUCGGGCUACGGUCAGCAGCAGCAGCAGCAACCCGCGGCCGCGACUGGGUACGGCAGCCAACAGGCCGCUGCCAGCAACUACCCGACCUCCUACUCGGCACCUGCGCAGGUAGGCGCGCCGGGGCUUUAAUGAUGUUUUGUACAUGCACUGUUUGUCAUGGAACGUCAAUGGAACGUCAAUGGAACGUCAAUGGAACGUCAAUGGGUGCGCGCGCUAGCAAGCAAGGAGGGGACUACGGUACUGGGCAUUGCAGACUAUCAGGGCUGAAUCCUGGUGGUUGCUGUGUGAAUUGUGCAGGCGUACCCGGCGUCCGGGUACGGCGCAAGCACCACCACCCAGGCCGCCCCGGCCACUGGCUACGGCCAGGCCCAGACCGGGUAUGGCUCACAGGCUGCGUCGGGCUACAGCCAGCCAGCUACGCAGUCGUAUCCGACGUCGUACGCGGCGGCACCGCAGGCAAGUUUGCACACAAACAGUUUGAAGCUCGAAACUGGUCCGUGUUCUGCGUGGUGGGAUGGAAGCUAAGUUUUGUCGUUUUUAUUUGGCGAAGCAAUUGAUAUAAUGCGGUCCGCUCCCUCGAUACACUGGUUUGCUUGCAGGCCUACGGCAGCGCAGCGCAGCAGCCGGCACAACAGGCGGCACCCCAGUACAGCGCGCCCGCGCAGGCCGCCACCGGCUACAGCCAGCCGGCGGCAGCGGCAGCGGCGCAGCCCGCGUACGGCGCAACCCAGGGCUACAGCCAGCAGCCGGCAGCCGGUUACGGCAGCUACAGCCAGGCUACGGUGAGUCUUUGUUACCGAUGUGCGUCUGUGCCUCCUUUGCUUGAGCCUGUCCUGAAUGCAGCCCUCACGCCUGCAAUCUGGACUGCGCAUAUUGACAUCGUACUUGGGUCCACACUGCCCAUUCAUAGGCCUACGGUCAGCAGCAGCAGCAGCAACCGCAGCAGGCGGCUUACGCUGCAGCGGCUGGCGGCUACACACAGCAGCAACAGCCCGCUGCUCAGGCCAGCUACUCCGCUUACGGGCAGCAGCAGCAGCCUCAGCAGGCGGCACAGCAGGGGUACGCGGCGUACGGGCAGCAGCAGGCGGGCUACGGGCAGCCGCAGGCGGCGGCGCAGGUGGGCCAGAAGCGCGAGGGAGAGGCGUACGGCGCCUACGCGGCCGGUGGUUACGGUGCGGCUGCUUACGACGCGAGCAAGCGCCCGCGCUACUAGACCUACCAACCACCACCCUCCCACCUACACCAACUCCUCCUUCCACCUUGCGCGUAUAGCAAUAGCACACCAGCACGGUGCGGCCUCUGCUUGGGUGCCUGCGUGCCCCAGUCCCCGGGAAGGGAGGUAUGAACAGGGUGCGCUCGCGGCAGCAGGGCGGGACGUUGUGUCCCAGGUGCUUGGGGUAUUAGGGUUUGGCAAGGUGUUGCUGUUGUGCUAAAUGCGGAGCUCUCCGCACUACGCCCGGGGUUGGUUUUGGGGUUGACGGUCAUGUGGGUCAAGUGUGACGUAAUGGUCUCUCGCGUCGGUCCUGGGCCAUGGGUUGCCGCUGUUUCUCGGGGUUCCACCUUGCGCUGAACAGCGCUCUAGUAGCAAUGGAUUGCGUGGCUGGGAAGUAAACGCCGCGCUGUGUGUGGUGCGGUGCUGAUGCAAGACUUGACUAAGGCAAGCACGCGCGGGCUGCGGACGUAGGAAGGAGGGUGGCUGGACUGAGGAUAGCACGAUGUUGGACACAACAUGAGGGGUACAGGGUGAAGGCGUGGGAGCAAAACUCGGGAACAUGUUAUGCACAUCAGCUUCCGCCAUACCCCUGCUACGCAUCAGCUAGGCUUCAGGCCCAUGCCGACGCCGCUAACCAUAACGGCGUCAACCCCCGCCAUGUGUCCAUGUGGCGAGCCGCGUGGAGGAUGCUGCUCCCGGCAAAGCGGCCGGGUCGUCGUGGACAUCCAGCGGCGAUUGAAGCGCCACAACAACGGUACCCCCAAGGCGCCAGCGUUCCGGUAUGGUGCCUGGGUUUCGGGACCGGUAAUCGAUGGUCAUCUGGGUCACUGGACGAGUAGCAGCUCACGGGCGAGGGCUUCAGAUUGACGGCGUGGUGGGUGGAUGGGUUGCAAGACAACCUGAGGCGUGUAUGCAGUACAAGGCUGGGUUCAUACUCGCGUCUUUCGGUUGGUGUCCAUGAAGUGGGAUUAUGGUGCGAGGGGCCGGUGCGAUGCCUGGCUGGGGUCAUAAGGGUUGACGAUUGCCAUCCACGUGAGCGGGCUAAGUCGGGUUACCCACUGGUUGUACAUCUGGGCAUUGGGUCCAUCGCUUCAGGACAUGGGGAUUCAGGACAAGCUGCAAUGGGGUGAUUUGGGGAUGAGGAACAGCCGACAGAAGAUGGGCCUUGGCAGUAGCUGCUGCAGACUCUGGACUCCCGCACCCUCCAGAGCCCUAACCUGUGCAGGAGGCGCACUCACAGGGCGGCCAGUCACUCGAGCUCAGCAGAGUCAACGGUAUGACGUGGACGAUUGACCUGCAGCAGCUCGCGAGUCCAGCCAGCUGGCGCCUGCGUUCAGGAAAGAUGCUGUCCGGGUGACGAGUACAGGAUCACAGGGAGGGUACAGUAAUGUGGUCGAGGGGCUGGGUCGUUCACUCGUGAUGCUUGCACCGCUCCAAUGGCAGAUGUUGAGCGUCCCUGUGGUUGUGCCGGUCAGUUGCAAUACUGCAAUACGUGGCAGGGGUGAACCCCAACGGAGGCCAAUGGCAACCCAUGUAAACAAAAGCGGAGGUGUGGGCCUGUGUGGGUGUGCGAUGGGUACGAAUUCACCUUGUGCGCCACGGCGCCACCGCGCUGGUUGACCUCAGGCCCUCAGCGCAGCCUAGCGCAGCAGUGCGGCGUGGGGCUCGGAGCCAGAGCUGUUUCUCAAUUGUGGUAAUGAAUGAACCGACUGGGGGAGCCCGACAGCCCGCUCGGGGACUGCCCAGGCCUCGGGACGCGGGCGGCAUGGUCCAGGCCCAACCGCAGUAGCAGAUCUCCAGCACAAGGCAGCAGCUACCAAUUGCUCAGAAUGUUGCAUACAUACUUUAGCGCCUUCAGUAUUACUCUGGUCUUGGUAUUAUCGUGACAGACCGCAACAACUUUCAGCACAUCGUUUCGCGCUCACAGCUUGCCAAGAUGGUGAAGACUACAAGCCACUUCACUAACAAACGUGGCCAGAAGCUCUAUUGGGUUGCGCACGUGCCCGACAGCGGCGAGGUCAAAGCUGUGUUGUGCUGGCAUCACGGUCUGGGAGGUGAGACUAGACGGACUUCGUACGUAAACCCUCUGUUGACGGAUUAUGACGCAAAGGUUAUGAUCGCGCUUGUGUUAGACCUUGAGGCGCCUUAGCCUUGGUCCAUGUCUGAACGCCUGAAUUGCUGACGAGCGUUUUCCCCCCCGCGCUGCAUCAUCGCAUCGACUUAUCGGCUACAGAGUACAUCGAUCGCUUUGAUGCAAGUAAGUAUACCCAGGCACUGGCUCAUAUUGGUGGCAGUUGCUGACAGCCCCCGGUUGUGCCCCCGUUGUUCUCCCGACCUUGGCCCUCUUGCGCCGUGCGCCUUGGCGGUUGGCCGUGCUUUGUAUCUGUACACGUGCCAGGCAUGCAUUGUCGUGUCCUUAACCUUCGGAUGCACGAACAACGUGCCUGCAGCCUUCAAGGUGUGGGCGGACGCCGGCAUUGCCGUGUAUGGCUUCGAUGUUCACGGCAUGGGUCUAUCGGAGCCGUCUAAGGCAUCUGAUCGCAUCCUGGUCAAGAAGUUUGACUAUCUGCCGGAGGACGCCAUCCACUUUCUGGAGGAGGUGCUGCAGGUGAGACCUUGAUGGCAGGGACCUAGGCGCUUGGUGGGCGCCAGGCUGCUCCGCACGCCAGCUCUCCAACGCACAACGCCUCAUGCUCCCUCUAUGCAUUACCACACCUACCGUAUACCCGCUAACCCAGCCGCUUGCCCUGCCCCGCCCGCGCCACCAUCUUCGCACCUGCAACCGCAGCCAGCUUUGAAGGCUAACGGCACCGACUCCAAGCCGUUGUUCAUGGCGGGCAACAGCCUGGGCGGGCUGGUGGGCAGCCAUGUGGUGUUGCGGCGGCCCGACACCUUCGCCGGACUGCUCAUGCAGUCGCCAGGUGAGCGUGGGUGCCGGAGACCCCGUGCGGUCAUGCUGGAGUCGUGCUGGGGUCGUGGGGUCAUAGAUGCGAACGUACGCCAGCAAGGGUCCCGCGCUCAUGUGCCUUCCCUGCCGUCGUGCCCCUCUGCAGCCAUCGACGUGGAGUGGACGCCCAUCCUCAAGUUCCAGGCCGCAGUCGGAAACAGUGAGUUCGGGUGUGUCGCCAGUACUACUACGCACAUCCACCCUAGGUCAUCCAGAGCUAUGGUUGUUUGCAUCAUUCCCACGGAGGGGGUGCGUCCCAGCCUGUUGUCAACGCCGCUCCACGCCCGCGCCCCCUCUGCCUCCGUGGCCAACCGCGCCAACCGCCCUACCCGCGCACACACCCUGUGCCCGCAGUCCUGGCCGCCAUGGUGCCUCGCGCGCACCUGGUGCCGGCGGUGCGGCCGGAGGACAUGAGCCAGGACCCGGCGGUGGUACAGGCCUACCUGGACGACCCGCUCAUCCCCAAGGGCAACGUCAAGGCGCAGACCGGCAAUGAGUGCCUGAAGGUGCGGUGCGGCGGCGUCCUGGCGGGCGGGCGGCCUGCCUGGCGGGCGGGCGGGCGGGCGGCACGGCGGGCGGGUUGUGGGGGUCAAGCAUGGCGUGGAGCGGAUGGGGUGGGGCACGUAGGAGGUGGCAUGUGCGUGGGAAGAGGGAGCUGCGGUGAUCAUGAGGAUCAGCACCGCUGGGAGCAGUGCUCUUCGCUGCGGCAGUGGUGAUGAUGUGGGUUCGGCUAAUGGCGCCUUAACCGGUACAGGUGUUAGAAAGAACGGCCCGUGUGUUGGAGGAAAGGGCCCGGGCGCAGCUGCUGGUGCCGGCAAUGACGAUUGACGUCUUGCCGUGUUGCACGCAACCCCCCUCCCCAUGCACAGGGCUUCCGCGCUCUGGUGCCGCUGCGCAAGCAGUUUAAGCUCCCCAUCUAUGCUGUGCACGGUACAGACGACAAGUGCACCAGUCUCCCGGUAGGUGCCGCAAGGGCGUGGCGCGUUUGGCAGCAAAAGCACACCACCCGCAGGAGCACCUUGCAAGUUACAGCGCAACACCCGUACGGUUCCAUCCCAAGUGCAUAGCCUCGAUGCAGCUGUCUCCGACGCUCAAUCUCGGCCCCGCCGUCACGUGUGUCCGCCGCACCGCACCACCCACAGGCACUGCGCGAGCACCUGAAGCACGUGAGCAGCAGCGACGUGACGCUGAAGGAGGUGCCGCAGGGCCGCCACGAGCUGCUGUUCGGGCCGGAGAAGGAGGAGGUGCGGGCGGAGAUGCGCGACUGGAUCCUGGCGCACGCCAAGUGAGGUCUUGACGGGUGUCUAGGCUAGCCACUUGUGGUGGUGUGUGGCGGGGGCGCAUGUGGCCGGAGCACAUGCCGGGGGCUGAGGGGUUUCCGAGUAUCGGGGAUCGUCGUGCUAAGGUGAGGGGCUGUAUCGCGCGCAGCGGUCGAAGACGGCAAUGACUAUGGACUUACGGGUUCUGAACGCCAAUCAAGGGAGGCAGAAGCAGAGCUGGGACGGUGUGCUGGCCGUGUGAUUACUUGCAAGAACGGGCUGGCCCCACAGUAUAGCCAGCAGAUGGUGGAUACUGUUUAUUUGUGACACUGUGUCGGAUGUUAUGCUCACCUGGUCUUCAUGUGAGGGAUUUCUUCAGAAAUUGAGACGGCAUGGCCGCGUGGGAUGGUGAGGUGCGCAGCGCAAGGCAGGCGUGAUGUGUGCAAAGCGGUGGGAUAGGCUUCCACCUUCGCAUUUACCGUGAUAUAUCCGGCGUGCUGCCUGGACACAAUAAGUAUUGUAUCGAUGCGCCAUUGAGCUAGAUAGUAAGAUAUGGAGGCAGGAGUGCAGGACAUCUGCGUCGCCCUGCGUGCUGAGGGAAGGCGAAGCCACAUAGAUGCAACAGUGCAAGAGCAAGGUGGUGAGACUUGUAAGAGCGGCAAGCCUCCGAACCCGCUGGCUAGUGGCUACCGCCGUAGCAACAUAAUGCUCAGUUGGUCGCGUCCUCUACAAUCAACAGCACGAAAGGCGGCUGGCACAAACAAACAGCGAAUAUCGGGCUAAAGGGCUGGCACGGCCGGCUGGAGCGGGAUGAGCGCAUGUGUGUGUGGGAGGGUGACCUGACGCACCAAACUUAAAGCUCAUUCCGUUCCAAUAGUGCGUAUAACUUAGGUUCCACGAAACAACUUUUUCUUACAGUUCAAGCUCGGUGCUCUUCAGAGCGCGUUUCCUAGUUUAGGAUGCCAAACUGGACGUCGUUCGCGUGCUUGUUACUUGCGCUCCUUGUAGCCGGAUCUAACGCCGUCGAUGACAAGCAAACGAAAUGCAGCGAGCUAGGCUUCAUCAACCCGGCGUGCUCAGACUGCGAGUUGCUGUCGCAAUUUGUGAAAGAUGAGGAGCUGGUGCGAGACUGCAAGGGAUGCUGCGUACAGGACGAGGCGGUCAAGAAGUACACCAAGGUGUGAAAGGGGGGAGUGCCGGUUGUGUUGCGAACCUUGGGGCUGUGGGGCGGACGGCGCAUAGGCACGCGGCGGGAGGAGCUGCCCUCUCCGGGUUGCGCUCAGUGCGGCAUGUGAAGCAUGGCCUCUGGGCACCGCUGUGCAAGCGAGCUGAAUUUUCGGUGCAUGGAGCAUAGAAGGACUGGGGUGCUUACGGAAGCGGAGCAGGAUCAGAUGCCCAACGUAUUGUGUGCGUGGUGUGUUGAGUAUGGGAGGGCGCACAGGGCAUUCCGCGCGGCGCUUUAAUGGUUCAAUGUCUGCCCUGUGUCUUGCAUGUCUUCCUCGCGGUUGCUACUUGCAGGCGGAGCUCAUCAUCGACCAGUGGCGUGCCAGGUGUGUGGCGGGGACCCCUCAUGGCAGAGUGUUGCUAGGGGUGAUGUACUGAUGUGCGGCGCGGUUCGGGGUGCGUGGGGCGCGUAGCAGCUGGACGCGUUUGUGAGGCACGUGCCGGUGGCGGCAUUGCCGUAGGGAUGGUUGCGGCCUGUCGUGACCCUACUGCGUAGCUCCCGCAAAUAGUUACAAGGUGCUGGCGCACCUUCUCUGGUGCCUAUACAUCCAACCGCUGGGAAACGACUUCCCUACUCGUGUCCGUCAGGCGCUCUCCUAGCAGGCCAGUCCCAUACCUACCCUAUCCCUGCCCCUACCCUAUUCGGCUAUCCCCCACACAGCACGCUGCAGCAGAUCAAGGACUUUAUUGAUAAGCGGGCCGCGUCCUUCGCGCCCCACCUCAAGGUGCGGUGCGGUCAUAUUGAUAGCACAAAGCGAAAUUAGCGUGCCGCGCACUGCUCUGCAGCAGUAUGACGUUAGGCCCGCGUCAUGUGCAACAGAGACGUUAGGCCCGCGUCAUGUGCAACAGAGCAGGUGUACCACGGUUUCAGUGUGUCAACACAGCCACCGCAUGUAACAAGCUGUGCAAGAUGGCAUCUGACGCGCCCCACCGUCUCUGUUUGCCAGCCAUGCGAAUGCAGACUAGUGACCCCACCCCCGUCCUAGCGCCUCCUGGUCUUUGUCUGACUGGGGAUGGCGAGACUCCACACCCCACCCUUGCUUCGCGCGUCUGCACACCCGUUACUCGCAGGUUGCGUACACGCACGGCGCGACGCCCAAGAUCCGGCUCAGCGGCGGUGUGGACGGCGCGCCCAGCGAGACAGUGCGCAUUGACAACUGGAAGGCGGACCACAUCGCCGAAUUCCUGGACCAGCGCCUGGAGCGCAGCGCGGCGGCGGCGGCGGCGGCCAAGGGCAGCAAGGACAAGGCAGGCAGCAAGAAGAACAUCAAGUAGGGGGCUAGGAGGCGAAAAAUGGCCGUGGGGUGUCCCUAAGUUUACGGCCUGCCAAAGGUUGACGGCGUCAUCAGGGCGGUGGGUGGGCGUCGUCGGCAAUGGCCGUCAGGCAGGACCUGUUUGCGGCAAUGGCUUGCAGUGGCGGUCGGGUUGGUAAGUGUGCUGCUCGCAGGCCGCGCAUAAACGUUCAGACUCCGGGGUCAUGCAGGCUUCGGGAUCGCGUGUUGCGUGCACGGGCUUGCCGUGGUGUGGAGGAUUUAAUAGUGUGGUAAGCUGCCGGCACCGAGAUGACUUAUUCUGUGUAACAAUUUAUACGGCUUACUGUUGAAUUCCCGCCUUCCAGCACCCUACCUCGUCAGCACCCUGCAUUACACUGCACGCCUUUCCCAUCCCAGCCGGACCCGCCGCUGAAGGAGCACUCCUCAAUGCCGCAUAAGCCAGUGCUUGAGCGCUUGAGCUGCAGUCCCACAGCCUGCUACCACAAAUCAAGCCUUGUUUUUGUCAUGCCACUGCCCUACCUGACCUAGGCACAAGCAUCCUCCCACAUUCGCCUCUCUACCCAGUCAUCGCUUGCAGUUUCUAUACGCCCGCGAGUACCGCAGCUGCUAUUCCUCCAGGUUCUACUGCUAUUGCUGCUGGGGCUGCUGCAGCGGCGGCAGCAUCAGAUCCGCCACCAGCCGCUCGUUGGCGGCCAGCGCCUCCGCCGCCUCGGCCUUGAGGCGGCUGAUGCGGUCGCGCAGCAUGGGGUUGUCAAGCCGCACCAGCCGGUUGGAGGUGAGCGCGGCCUGUGGGAAUGAGCGGCGCCGUUGGGGAGACAAGACAAGAAUGGGCUGGGUACGAGAAUGUGAGGCGGGCAAAUGUGAAGAUGUGGGCUCGCAACGGGUGCAGCUUGUGGGUGCAGUUCCACUUGGUCCAUCCUUCACGGGUCCCCACGUCCCCUGCCUCAGUUGCGCACCUGCACGCGCAGGUCCAGCACCUCGUCCCGCAUGGCCUGCGCCUCCAGCAGCAUCUGUGCGGGUGGCCGCACACACGCGUGGGAAAUGGGGCAAAGGUGAGCCUGGUCGGUCAGGAUUUGCUACCCUGCGACCACGCUGCUCAGCCCCAAAGCACUUAUACUUACCAUCUCUAGCGCCUUGAUGGGGUCACCAAGGCGCACCGCCAGAUUGGCGCCCGGCGGCGCCGCCGCAGCCGGCGGCGGCGCCAGACCUAACCGCCCGCUGCCACUAAAAUCCGGUGCCUUUAAUGGCAUGCCCAGGCCCCCAGGCGACGGCUCCAGUGCGCCCGACACCCCCGCUGCCAUUGCCGGGAACGGGGCGCCGCUGGUCGGUGUCACCGCAGUGGAGCCCGCGGCAGCGCCCGCGGGCCCACAGCCGCCGCCAGGCCCCGUGAUGGUCCAGGCGGGACGUACGCUCACCGGCGGCGUCACGGAGGUGCCGGCGUCGGCAAAGGUGAAGGACACUGCGAGCGCCGGCGCCGCCGCCGGCGCAGCAGCGACCGGUACCGCGGGCUGCACUGGCUGCAGCCCCACCGCUGGCGGCGUUGGCGCGGGCGCGGGCGCGGCGGGCGCCAGAGGCGGCGUGUGCAGCACUGGCGUCACAAGGCUGGGCGUUGCGGGCAGUGCCUGGCGCGCCAUCAGCGAAGGUGGUGCAUCGGCUGCAUGGAGCCUGCUGGGCCCGUGUGUGUGCGGCGGGCGGGGCUGUGGCACCGGUAGCGGCGGAGUGACCACGGCCGUGGCGGCGGCGGGCAUGGUCACAACCUCCAGAAUUGGCAGACUCGCGGCCGGGACGUCGGCCGGAGGUGCGGGCGCAGUUGCGGGUGCGUGCGGGACCUUGGGCGGCUCGGACGGCCCGGCAGCACCCACAGGCGGCUGGUUGGCAGGAGCACCGUGGCGCCCUAGCCCCAGCGCACGGAGCCCGCCGCCGGCGUCGGCUUUGGGCGGCGGUGCGCCGUUGCUGAGGGGUGCAGCCGCUGCCGAGGCUGCCACUGGCGCCACUGACUGCAGCGGCUGCGUCUGCCGCUGCAGCGGAAGCUGCGGCCGCAGAAUGGGCGCACUGCUGGCCCCGGCACUGCCACUGGCAGCGCCGGCACCGGCUGUAGCACCGAGCACUGGCCUGGACGGCUGCAGCAGCGGCAUGGGCUGCACUGCCUGUGGCUGCGGCUGUGGAGCUGGUGCCGUGCCUGGGGGCGCGAGCGUCGGUCGACGCAUUGCUGGCCCGGCAAGCCCCAGCAUCCCCACAGCUGGUGCCGGCGCGGCAGUGAACACCGGCGGCGGUGGCGCAGAUGCCACGGGCAGGUGCAGCGCCGCUCCGCCGCCUGAGGUGCUGGCGCCGCCACCCAGGGUUCCGCGGGAUGCGCCAGUCAGCGCAGCCGCUGCGGUGCUGAGUACAGCCGGCGUAGCAGCGGCAGCGGUUUUAGGCGCUGGCGGCAGGGGCUGGGGCAGCGUUAGUACACGUGCUGGCAGAGGGCCGCCCGGACCGCGCAUUGCCGCCACCGCGGGUUGCUCCGCCGGCUGCUGUGCCCUAACCGGAGCUGGCGCGGUGGCAGGCGCAUCCGUAACCGCGGCCGUGCUCGCCAUGAUGACGGGUGUAGGCUCUGCUGCUGCCGGCGUCGCCGUUACUUGUUGCGCUGCGGCAGCAGCCUCGGCAGCCUCCUUGGCCUCGCAAUCAGCAUGAGCGCGCGCCUCAGCCGCCUCAGCCUGCCGUUUGGCCUCCUGCUGCCUGGUCAACGUGUCGGCAGCAGCCUGCCGCUCCCCUUGCUCUGCCUCCGCCUGCUGCGCCUGAACCGGCGCCGCCGCCUGUACCUUUGCCUGGUGCAUUGCUGCUUCAGCCGCAGCUACGUUAGCGACCUCCGCAGCGGCUGCUUGCUGCGCUACCUUCUCGGCCUCUACCGCCCGCUGAAUCGCAGCCGCGGCGGCGGCGGCCUGUCGCGCGGCCUCCGCCUCAGCCGCCUGAUGCGACGCCGCUUCCGCCGCACGCGCCUCCUCGGCUUGCCGUGCCGCUGCAGCUGCUGCCUGCUCCAUCUGUGCCUGCUGCUGAGCUGCCGCUGCCACUGCAGCUGCCUCAGCCGCGGUGGCGGCAGCCUGUGCUGCUGCCUCUUGCACAAGCCCCGCCUGCUGCCGAGCCUCCGCCGCUGCAGCGGCAGCCUGCUGCUCAGCAGCCAGAGCCGCAGCCGUGGAAGCGUCGUCCUGCAACUGCGGCGCCGCGCCCUGCUGCACUACGCUGCCCUCCUCGUUUGCGCCGGCGCCGGCACUGGUGUCGGCCGCAGCGGCUGUGGCAGCGUGUGGUAUGAGUCCGGUGAUGGCGCUAUCGACUCCGCCGCCCUCGUCGCCGUCGUCCAUGCCCAGCAGGAGCGCAUUAAUGUCGUCUGCGGGUCAUACGUGUAACGUGCAAUGGGAUGGGAUCAGACUACGGGAGCGCAAGCGAAGGCAAACCGUUGCGGGGAACCCGCUGACAAAGACUUGCACACGCAUGCGUCAACCUAGCUGUCACCUGGGUCCAACCGCACUCAUCACCCGCGGCCUUUUGCUCAUCACGCACCAUCGUCGUCCACCAGGCCGGCAGGAGUGCCAGCGCCGGCUUUGGGCCCCGCGGCGGCAGUGGUGACGGCCUCCGCGGGUUCCUUCGCGGCCAGCGCUGGUGGCGGGGCCGGCGCCGGGGCAGGCGCGGGCGCGUCGUCAUCCUUCACCGCAAAGUCCUUGAACAUCUCAUCCUCGUCGUCACUAUCCUCCAUCUGAAAUUUCUUCUUGAUGGCGGGCUUGGCCCCGCCAGCCCCGACGGCCUUGAAGGAGAAUAGCGAGCCGCUGCAUGAUCACCAAAAACGGAGGUGAGCAGCGGCCCCGGUUUGAACUUGCUCCUCCGAGCCUCACUGCUGAUCGUAAGCAUGCGACAGGCUGAGUAUGGUGGGGCACAUGCUUCCUGUUGCUGUGCAGGAGCGAAGCAAGGAAUGAAAAGCAGCUUACCCGGGCUUCGCUGCGGCAGCGGUCGCGGGCUUGGCCGCGGCCGCGGCUCCUGCCGGCUUGCUGCCGCCCCAGGCAUCGUCUGCGCUCGGAAGAUCGCAGCCACAGGUAGAUCAGGACGGGGAGCGGUCAACGCAGGUCAGCGCGAGGGCUUCAAGCGCAGUAAGGCCGCUCACCGUCUUCGUCGAAAAAUGAUCCCAUCAGCUUCUGUACUAGGGACCUGUUUAUGUUACAUGCGUUGUGCGGCGUGGUGACAGCGCGCUGGAGACUACGGACCGGAGCGAAAGCGGGAUUCGCUGGCGGCAUUUGGCGGGAGGGGAGCCAUCCGGUCUGCAUGCCAGGAUUUUGAGCACCACAAGUGCGCCGCGGGGCUGCCCUGUCUUUCAGUCAUACGAUUAUGCACCGCUGGUCUCCCGCCACGUUUGUAACCCACGUUCUCGACCUGACGCUGAAGCGCCGUUAGAGUAGGCUUAGGCCCGAGCAGGCUUUUCCGCUCGCUUAGCCUUUAUUGCCGCGGCCACCUGGGUUUGCAGUAGGACAGCCCGGUGCACCCUUAGCUGCAGCACAAGCUUAGCGGCGGCGCGGAGAGGAGAGGCGCGGUGAGUUUGGCGCCAAAGCGCAGGCGCCAGGCUUGCCGGCGCCAACCCAGACGCAAGCGCUGAUCGGCAUGGGCUUGGCUAACGUUUGCGACAGUGUCCUUGUUCGCUUGCGUCAUUUCCCCAGGCCGCUAACAACCGCGUUUCGGGUCGUUAACCCCCCCCUCCCCUCCCGUUUCCAGGCAGGAGAGCGGCCGCGCUGCUGCGGUGCUCGCCUCGCGCGCACAUGGACUAUGGUGCUGCUGGCAGCUCUGGGUCAGCCCAUGGCUUGACGCUGGGGCGGGGGCCCGGUGUCGCUGACGACGCGCCAGGCGCGCUGCAGCAGCCCGCGACCGCGCCUGCUAGCACGGCCGCGGCUACGACCGGGGCCCAGGCGCAGCUGCCGUGGAGCUACUGGCACACCUUUAGCGGCGAGGCCGGCCAGGACGGCUCGGCGCAGCUGGGUCAGCCGAUUACGUGGCAGCCGGCGCCGACCCACAUCGCGGCCGCGGCAGCUCGGCGGCAGCAGCCCGCGGCCGGGGGUCGCCUGAGACACCACUCGGAGCAACUACCAGCAGCUGCCGGUCCAGCUUCUGGCAGCUUGCGCAGCGGCGAGAUUGGCGAUGUGGGUCGGCCGCCACCAGGCCCUUCGCGGCCGACCGGCGCAGUCUCGGGACCCUCGGCGCCGGCGCAGGCGCAGGCGCAGCAGCUUGUGCAAUCGCCAAUGCUGUGCGGGGAACAGCUGCUGUGGCCGGGGGAGCCUCAACCAGGAUCCAUCUCCGCUGCUACACAUGCUGCUGCCGCCGCCACCGCUACCUCAGCAGGCGCGCCUUCAGACGACCCAGUGGCGGCACCGGCCGCGCAUGCCGGCGGACCGGUCUUGACAGCGGCUGGCGUGGAUCUGAGUGGGUCCUUCGCCUUCGCUUCACCAUCCGCGAGUGGCGCGCCAAAUGGGAACGGCACCAGCAGGCGAGGGCGUGUCACUGCCCCCAGCGCCGACAGUGGCGCCGCCAGCAAAUUGCUGCGUCGCCUCAGCAGAACGCCACAGCCCCUGGAGGAGCCAGAGAGCGCUCUUGGUGAUGCCGCAAACCUUGGCAGCGGCAACGUCCUCCCACCCUCUACCUCAUCAGCCGCCGGUGCUGCCGCGGCGGCGGCGGUGGUAGCUGCGGCAGCGGCGGCGGUUCUUCAACAGCAUCAGCCGCAGCAAGGGGGCGCUACCGCGGCGCCGGCGCAGCAACAACAGCCUCAGCGCACCUCGCUGCGAGUGCGGCGGAGCAAGGCCGUGGCUGAGGCGCAGCAGUUGGCUGCCGCUGCCAUGCCGCCGCCCGCGCCUAAGGCUGCAACAGCCAGAAGCAGCAAGAAGGGCAACCGCUCUAGCGCCACGCCCCCGGCGUCCGAAACGUCUGGUGGUGCGCUAACGGCCACCGGCCGUGCACCGUCGCCCAGCGUGGCAGCGUGUGUUGGGGCCAGCGGUAGCCACAGCGUUGGGGCCGACACAUCAGCCCCCACUGCAGCCGGCAGCGGCGCACUGCCCGGCGCUGCGGGCGGCAACUGGCUGCCUCAGGACGGCCCGCUGGCGGGUCUCAUUAACCUGCGCAGCCCACCCGGCGUAGCCCGGCUGACCGGGCACAGCAUCAAGUGCGUGCUAGGUGGGGAUACCGCCGCCUCAGCCUCGGCCUCCGCCACGCAAGAAGCCAUGGCGUCCGGCCCUCCGCCGGCCCAGCCUGGCUUUUCCUUCCUUCCUUUCGGAGGCGCUGCAACCGCUGCCCCCGCCCGGGUUGCAGCGGGACAGGGCACGGCCUCGGCGGUCGUGGCGCGCGGGGAGGGCAGCGCCGCCGCGGGCACACCCAUCCCGCGUUCAACCGCUGCCGCCGCGGAUACAAAUGCUGGUACCGGGACUGGACCUGCGGGCUACGGCUAUGCUGGCGGCAGCAAUGUCGUUACAAGCGCAUGGCUGCAGCGGAGCUACAGCGAGGCAUUGCAGCCCGGCGAGCCGUGUGCAGCAAACCGCCCGGUGAGCGGCAACACCCCAGACCCCUUCCUGGCACAUCCCCACGAACCGCCCCAAGGCCUGAGCCCAGCGGCUGGCGCGGGCGGGGUCGCCUACCUUCCGGUCAUCUACCACGCCGGCUUUCCGACGCAGCCGCAGCACCAGCCCCAACAGCCGCAGCAGCAGCACCAAUGCCAGCAGCCGCGACAGCAGCACCAGCAGGCGGCGCGGCAGCCGUCGCCGGAGGUGCGGCAACAGCCACAGCAGCAUAUGCAGCACCUUGAGGAGCACCAGCCCACCGUUCAGCAUGGCCCCUACCCACCCACCACGCAGCAGCCCGCGCAGCUGCUCUUCUCGCAGCCCUCGCUGCCUUACCGGCACCCGGCGCAGCAAGGCGUGUACGCCCUUAGCCAGCAGCCACAGUACCCACAGCACGCGCCCGAGUACUGCCAGUACGUGUACGCGGGCCAAGCCCCGCCUCCGCAGCCCUACUACGCGCACGGUGGCGGCUAUGGCGGUGGAUACGGGGCGUACCCACAGCAGAUGUGGUAUUGCGCGGUGCCUGCAGCGGCGGGCAGUAACACGGGUGGUAGUGGGCAGCAAGCGGCCGUUGGCAGCAGCAGCAGCUACUACGCCGGCAGCUGGGCGAUGGAGGCGAGCGGGGCGGCGGCCGGCGGCCCCAGCGCCGCCUCCUCCCUUUAUGAGCAGUUCAGCGGUCCGCUGGGCGCACAGGGGCAGUCCACGGGGCCGGGUGGCGGACACGGCAGCUUCCGCCCGGCGGUUGGGUCACAGCCAACCGCGUCGCCGUUCCGCGUGGAGCUGUCGCAGCCUGCCAUCGCCGGGGCCCGAGCCGCAGCGGCCGACUAUGAUGCCCGCCAGCCGAGUCAAGCCCCCGGUUAUGGAGCCGACACGACGGCUGCCGCGCUGUACGCUCGCAGCCACCACCAUAACUAUGCGCAGCACCAGGAGCGCUAUCCACCGCAGCCGCACUACCCACAGCAGCAGCCGACGGGGCAUCAGCAGCAGCUGGUGUGGCACGAACCAUCGGCCCAGCAACAGGGACCGGCGGCCAUGUACUCCCAGCAGCCACCAGUGCCUUGCGCGAUCGCCGCUGCGCCGCACCCAUACGAGCAGCAGCCCGGCACACAGGUCCCGUCACAGCCCGACCAGCACGGGCCGCCGCAGCGCGCGCCGUACAUGCUGGAACUGCCCGACCUGUGCCUGCUCAUGGAUAUCGGCUCGCCCGGCAGCUUUCGGCAGUUGCGCCGCAUCAGUGCCGAUGGGGGCGGCGGUGGCGCCGCCGCCGCCUCUGCAGCUACCGGCGCCACUCCUUCCGCCGCCGCUGCAAGCCCAGCUAGGCGUGGCGCGUCCGGUGCUGAUGCCGGACCCAUAUCGCCGCUUGCGCUGGCAGCGCUGCUAGACAGCCCCGCGGUGCUCAGCCGGCGCUCGAGCCUGGCCCUCAACCUCGGCCGCCAUGACGCGGCGGCCGCCGCCGCCACCCAGGGCUGGCUGUCUCCGCUUCCCGGCCUCAACCGCGGCGCUGCCAAGCCUCCGCCCGCAGCUGCAGCACCCGCAACUGGGGCGUCCGCUCGCGCGGCCGCUGCGGCUCGCGCCGGGGUUCCGCCCGAGGAGGCCGACGCGGGCUCUCACGAUGCCAGGUUGCCUCGGGGUGCGGCGUCAGCGGCCAAUGUCGCCGUUGGGAGCGAGGCAACCAUGCCGGCCCCAACGCAGCAGCGCCGCGGCCGUGUGCGUGUCCCGACUUCGUCCGCCGUAUCGCUAGGCGGCCCGCAGGCAGCGGCGGGGGUACCCACCGCGCAGCUGCUAGCUGGGCCGGAUACCGCUGCAGGAGCUGCUGCAGGAGAAGCGGCUGCACCGCAGCCUGCUGCCGCUGCUGUCGCCAACACUUCAGAGACAGCUAAUGCCAGUGGCGCCGCUGCUGCAGCUGCAGCCGCUUCCACUUCACCCCGCCCGCGCGCCCCGGUCGUGGUAACAGCAGUGCCAUUCGGCGCCAGCCCGCCGCGCGUGGCGGGUUCUGCAGCUGCGGAGGACCCUGAUGCUAUGAUGUCCUUGUUCGGCGGCCGCGAUGAUGACUACACCAUGUAUGGCAGUCCGGGCGGGCUCGGCGGCCUGGGCCUGGGCCUCGGCUUGACCUUGGGGCAGCAGUGGAGCCUGACGCCGCUGCGCUCGCCGUCGUCCCUGCUGGUGCCCAGCUGGCGGUCGGCUCUGCCGAGCGCUCUGGUCGGCCUCGCAGCCGACGGCGUCGCUGGCGUCAACAGCCGGAGUACAGAUGAAGGCUGCGAGCCGCUGCCGCAGGCGGCUGGGCGUGCGGCGCUGGGAGCAUCACCGCUACGGCAGCACCAGGUGUCGCAAACCCAGCGCGGCGCUGAUGGCCCCGUUGGCAGCGACGAGAGCCCUGGCGUGCUGCUCCUGCUGCGGCCCAACAGCGUAGGCACAGGAGGUGGCACAAGCAUGGGAGCCGCUGCAGCCACAACAGAUGCCCCUGGGGUCGUGGUAGCCCCUGCCGCGGCGGCUGCGUCCACGUUCACACAAGUGGCGGAGCCGGAGGCUUACCUGCUGCGGCCAGCCCGCGACGCAGAGGAUGCCCCAGUGGCGAUGGCGGUGCAGUUGGGCGAUGCUGUCGGUGCCAGCGGCAGGAGGGUUCAUGGGCAGCCCCCGCCCCCGCGCAAGGCCCUCCAUGUUAGCGCCGUCGCGGCUGAUGACCACGAGCAACGCAAGGACGAGGGCACAGCUGCGGCAACGGCAUCGGAGCAGCAGCCAGCGCCAGGUCAGGACGCCUCCGCAACGCAACCGAAACGGGCCAUGCUGCGGCGGCGUGGGCGCAUGCUGCAGUCAGAGAUUGAGCGUGCAGCGGUGGUGGCAGCGGCCGCGGGUGCCGCCGGCGCUGAGGCUGCUGCUGACAAGCAACUGAUUGCGGUCGCACCCCGCCGUGCAGCGGCGAUUGCGGCCGCUGCCGCCAUCGCACGGCAAGCGGCCGGGACUGACGAUAGGCAGCAGACGGCUUCGGCAUCGGCACCGGGCCCUGCCUCCCGCCGAGCAGCACCGCAGCCGUCCGCAUCGGAGGAGCGAACGGUGACGGUUGGUGCACCACCGUCGCACCAGACGGCACGUCAGGAUCAAGGAGCUAUCGAGUCUGCCCCAUCAUCGGCAGCAGCACAUGCAGCAUCCCAGGGCGCGCAGGACACCGCUUCCAGCCUAGCCGGGCACGGCAAGCGCCCCCGGUCAGCCUCGGCGCCAGCCAAGUCAGCUCUAGGGCAGCCGGCUCUGGUCGUCUGUAACGGCGUGGCUGCGGCGCUGAACGCUGUUGGCGAAAGAAAGCGACAGCCGUCCGGCUCCUACGGGAACCACGCGCGUCGACAACCAGUGACGCCACCGUCCCUCGCGGCGCCACCGUCAAAGCCCGUUGCUGCUGAUCGGACAGCUGUGCAGCUCAUAAGCAGUGCGCCAGAGGCAAAGGCCGGCGCUAGCAGGGCUGCAGGCACCAGCCGCAGCGUGCACGUGACCAGGGUGACCCCUGCGGCAUCUGAACCUCGCCUGACGCCCAAUCAGGGCCCGGAGCCUCGGCAGCCGUCGGCUGAAUUCGCAGAGCAGGAGCUGGCUCAGUCGGUUGUGCCGCCACCAGCCAAGCGCAUGCGCCUUGAGAGCAAGCCUGAAGCUACAGCUUCCAAAAGCACGGGGCAGGAAGCCAAGGCGCAAGCGGACGCCCCCAAUAACCCCGUGACCGACUCGGCGUCGGCUGCAGUGGCCGGGCCGUCACGGCGGCCGCCACGCCACCCUAACGCCCGUGUCCGCGCCCACACCUCCGCCGAGCCGAGCGGGCCACAGCCGUUGCCAUUGACAUCAACAGCGGAGAAGGCAGCGGCCGCCGUGCCGCAGGCCGUGGCGGCGUUGCAUCUGCCGGCAGCUUCGCAGCCGGCGGAGCAGCUGUCUGCGGCGGCAAAGCGUGGGGAAACAGCGACGCAACCAGCUGGACAGAGCGGCUUCCUGGGGGCUGCACCGAAGCUCACGGCAGCCGCUGCGGUCCAUGCGCCAUCAACGCAGCAGCUGCAGGUGCAUCAGACGGUGACACCGCUGGUGGAGCGGCCGGCAUUAGACAGCACAGGAGAGGCGGUGGCGGCGGCGCCAACGGCAGAUUUGACGGCAGCUGCUGAGCAGAGCAGGGCAGCGCUCCAUAAUGGCGCGGAUCCUAUGGAAACGGAUCCAGCGGGAGCGCAGCCACCGGUGUCUCAAGCGCCAUCGGCUGCAGCAGAGGACAGCAAUCAGCAGUCGCAAGAGCAGCAGCUGGAUGACCAGCAGCAGGGUGGUGCAGAGCCGCUUCCGCAGCUUCCGCACAAAAAGCGCCUCCUGCUGCAACGGGAGAAGGAGCGCACUGGACACCUUGCUAGCCUACGCCAGCUGCCAGAUGGUCAGUCUGCUGUGGGUGCGAUGGCAGACGUGGCUGCGGCUGCGGCCCCGCCGCCAAAGGCGGGUUAUCCCUCGGUCAUUCCAUCACUCGAGCCGUGGAUGCGUGCUGCAGAGUUGCCAGCCACGGAGGGCACAGCAGCCGGCACUCAGCCAAUGCAGUGGCAGCAGUGCCGCGCUGCCCGUCAGCUGCAGCCGGAGGCCGACAGCACAGUGGCCGCACCUGAUGCUGGUGGCCCAGCCGCAAUUGAUGCCGGCGCCGGACCGUCCGUGGUGCAGCGGCAGGGCGGCCGUGAUGUGGGUGGUGAUGGGGGUCAGGGCCGCGCUGGCCGCGAUGGCCUGCCGGCGUCACUCCUGGUGGUGCAGCCCCGGGCAGCGGCCGUGCGCGCUGCCGCAGCCAUUGCUGGCAGUGGCAAAGCGGCAUCCAAGGCGGCGUCGCCUAGUGGCCAAGCGCUGGCAGGUACGAAGCGGAGCGCCUCAGCCGCAUCGGAGGACGCCGGCGAGGCUCCAGCACGUAAGCGCAAGGCAUCCGAGCCCACAGGCAAACGCAGCGCUGGUGGUGCUGCAUUCUUUGCACCUGGCGGCAGCGGCGCUUCGGGGAGCCUAGCAGGCACGGCAUCGGCGGCGGCAGCGAUGCCAGGGGCGCCGCCGUCGCCCCAAGCUGCGGCGGCGGCCGAGGCGUUGACAGCACUGGGCGGCGGUGCAGGUCGCGGGCGGGGUACCGCCAGUCGCCCACCGCUGCCGGCAGGCCGCGGGGCUGGUGGCGCCGCCGGUGGCGCGGCAGCGGCGGCGGACAGGGCUGGGCCCGCUGCACGCGCUGAUGGCACUGCGAACCAGGUGAGAACAUUGGCUGGAUUGGCUGUACAGUACUUGUAAAGUCGGCGAGGGCGUGUUGGCCCAGGUUACCAAUCAGAAUUUCUCGUGUUGCAUGCCACCGCUGGAAUGUGUAGCCAGGUGACAAUCCCCUCUCACACUGUGUGCGCAGGGGCGCGGACGCGCGGCGCAGCCGGCGUCAAGGGCGAGUGGAGGCGCCGCAGGCGGUGCGGGAGGCCCAAGCGCAGCUGGUGGCUAUACCGCCGCACCGGUGCCACAGGCGCGCGCGCGGGCGGCAGCAGCGGCGGCACACGAGGAGGCGGUGUCCAACCCCAAGAAGAAGGGCACCAUUCGGCGGCCCGGUCAGGUGAGCCUGGUUCCGCUGCUCACCUGGCAGGUUUAGGGGUGUCUGCUGCUAGUGGCGUGUUCGUGCGUCUUGCAACACGCAUCACGCCAGUCCUCGCAUGCCGAUUCCUAUUCUACGAAUGCUGUGCAGAUUCCCAACGUGGUUGCGGCGGCGGCAAGCAUUCUGCUGCAGCUACAACCGGGCGUGAAGGCCUUUGAGAAGACGUUCCGGCAGGAAUUUGGCAACAACCCGGACACCAGCAAGGCACUGCGGCUGUGAGUGAUUAGUUACUAUUCCGCAGGCACUUGCUGGGCAUAUAUGAUGAGAACUAUGGGUUUAUUUGUGCCCGGGUGAGACUCAUGUCAGGGGUUUGGGCCGCACUUCCGUGCACCGUUCCUUUACAAUAUCCUCGCCCCGCCUCUCUCCCUGCCCUGCAGGCUCAUGGAGCGCGGCCACGUGCUGCGCAGCGGCCGUGGCUUCCGUUGUGACCCGUACGGCUACACUGUGACGCAAGAAGGGCUGGACGCGGCCGAGGAGCAGCGGCGGCGCGAGCGCGAGGCGGGCGCCGACAAUUGAAUUGCUUGUACAGGCUGAGAUGGCAUAUGCAUGCUGAAACGUCCGGGUGCACUUACGAGCGUGCAGCACUGGUUAUGAGGAGGUUGGGGACUCCGGUUGCUACUAGGCCCACGGGGCUACGUAGUGUCACUUGGAAAGUAGGGCAUGAUUGUUGUGUCCCCUAGUCAUGUGUGUAGUUGGCCAGACGGGCUGGGUCCGUCUACCGUAGUUGUGCUCAACCCCGAUGGGCUAGCACGCGCAUCACCUGAUACCGUGUUAAGCAUCGUUGAUAACUGUAGCUGCCAUGGCGUCACCCCAUGCCGUCACGCUGGUAUGGACGAAUAAAUGUGCUGCACCCGUGCGUUGAUUGCACCCUAUCUAGCGUAGACAAAAGCUGCAGUGCUAUGCCUAAGCAGCAGUGGUGAUGCGUGUACUUUGCAAGUGCGGCGUGCGGCGCGGCAAUCCUCGCAAUUACCAACACUUUAACUGACACGGGGAUCACAAACGGGCUUUCGCGCAACUGCCAACGAACAGGGGCGGCGCGUGGCGUGGUGGUUGGCGCGCGGCGCGAUUGGGAACGCAUAGUUGGACAGCGAGGCGUGUGGGAAGCUGCGACAGAGCACGGCGGGGGCAUGGCGGAGGCUGAUGGUUGGCGCGCCGCGUGAGUGGAGUGCAUAGUCGUGCGCGCGCCGUUUGGGAAGCCACGUGUGUGAGCUGCGUGUAAACUCAGAGAAACGCAUGGGGCUGACCCGGUUUCCAACAUUGCCUCUGAGCGCGCACGGUUGACAUGGGACCCUCGCUUCGGUUCGGGGGCUGACGGGAAGCUGCGCGUGAGGUGGUGGGACUUGCUGGAGUGCAUGAAAAGCGCUCCGGGGCACGCGCGGGCGGGGCGCAGGCCGCAGGGGCAGCUCGCGUAAACUCGAACGAAACUCGUGGGGAAUUCGUGCAAAACUCGGGCGUAACUGGAGUGAAACUUGGGCGAUGUUCACCAAGCUGCGGCAGCGUAAAAAUGACUGCAGACUUUGAUAGUUACGUGCAUGCAACCGUGCAACAGAAGCCCCGGGACCGGCUGGGGACACGGGCUACCAUCACCCCCGGGUCUGGGCCGCUUGAGGUCCAGGCCGCGGGAGGUGCCCACACACGCAUGUAUGGAACUGCAUCGCGCACGUCCGUUCACGCUGACCCCCAGCCCCUCCUUCGCGCCGAUCUAUGCGCCCCUUGACAACACGUCCAUGGCCCGCCUUCCUGGGCUGCUGCCCACCCUGGCAAGGCGCCAUGGCGAGGUCUUCGCCGGUGCAGGCGCGGGCGCCGUGGCACCCGCCUCGUUUGUCCAGGCCGCGUUUGGCGGCGGGGGCAUGCAGUCGUCUGCCACGCUGAACGCCGUCGGCUGGGGCCUGUUCCAGCUCGGGGGUGUGACCUCCCGCAACGCCCCCUUCGCUAACUACAUCACCACGGACGGGGUGGCCUGCAGCGUGGCGCGAGAAGCGCACAACAAGCCAACUUGAAGCCGGCGACCGCGCCCGCCGAUGCGGAGGAGCUGUGCACCCUGGAGGAGAUGAAGGCCACGCAGAUCAUCGGUGUGGACCCGUGCGGGGGAGGGAAUUGGUUCAUGGCAGCACGGUCUCCGCUGUACCAGCCCUGGGCUUGGGAGGGUGUCAGGGAGGGUGUCAGCCCUGCCCAGCGCUUCCUGCUCGAGCUGCACGACAAGCAGCUGGAUGAGGAGUUGUUCCCUGGGCAGCUGCCGCCGGAGCCGCGUCGCAGGCGCAAGGGCGUCAGGCGCAAGGGUGGCGGGCGCAAGGGGGGCCACCGCCGGAAGCAAUCGAAGCACUGGCAGCCGCGAGCCAGGACAGCGCGGCGGCGGCGCCAGAAGCGGGGCCGAUUCCAUAUGAGUAUGGGCCAUAUGUCAGGCCUGGAACGACUCCAGCCAAACCGCCCACAGCUUGCGCCAGCCCUGCAGGCGUACGUCGGCGGCAUCCCCACGGCGGCGACCGCGUCGGCGGCCCGGUUUGAAGAGCGCCUGCGCUACCUCUUCGCCAGUGGGGCGCAAGGGCAGGCAGCGGGGCAGGAGGCGGGGCAGGCGGAGGCGGCGGGGCCGGCAGAGGCGGGGCCCCGGGGCGCGGUGCACGUGCUGUGGCACUACCACUUCUCCAACUUCCGCCGAAAGCGCUGGGCUGCGUUCAUCCAGCGCGACCGCGCGCUCCACCGCGUCGCCAAGCAGCUCACGGGCGGCAGGCCCAAGGAGGAGGUGGUGGUGGGGUGGGGUUCGUGGGCCUUCCAGGGAGGGAAGGGCGGCUCCCCCAUCUCCGUCAGGGGCGGGCGCGCGCCGACGGGGCGGCUCAUCAAGCUGCUCCGUGAGCGCUACGCCAAGCAUGUGUUCAUCAUCGAUGAAUACAAGACCUCCAAGGUGGGUGGGUUGAGUGGGAUUGCAAUUGCUGGUGGGUGGGUGGGCCGCUGGGUUUAUGCCUGGCUUUAGCGGAAGCCCUUGUGUGGCCCCCCUCCCUCCCACCCUCCCGACCAUGCAGACCUGCUACAACUGCGGGUGUCAGGAGAUGGCCAUCAAGCGGCUUGGGGGGCUGAAGGAGGGGCAGCGGCCCUGGUCGGUCAAAGUCUGCAACGACUGCUUGACGACCUGGGUGAGGACCGUGCAUGUGCGGGGACGGCUGGGCACUGGGGACGGAUUGAUUGACAGGUUGACGGUUGGGACAGCUCAUGUGCGCUCUCUUCUUCCUCCCCGUUCCCCAUCCCCAGAACCGCGACGUCUCCGCCGCCAACGUGAUCCGUGUGCUCCUCCUGCUGAAGCUGAGGGGCUUCGAGCGGCCGACCAAGCUGCAGCGGCCGCCAUGGCCGCCGGCGGCGGCGGGGCCGGGCUGAGAGCCUGAACGGCGCUAGCAGGGCGUGGGGCUGAGGGUGCACGUGUCGAUUGGCGGCGAGUGACGUGACUAGUUUGUUAGCUGCGGGUUAGCACGGACUGUGCACCCCACCCAACCGGCCACGUCCGGAUUUGCGGGGAUGCCAAAGGCCCCCAACAUAGAGGCGUGUGCUUAGUAGGCGCCCGCGUCAAGGUGGCUGGGUUGAUAACGACCCGGGAGGGGAGGGCUCAGCCCUUUUCCUGCCUCCCUAAGGCAGCCACCUCCUUGUUGUUUUGAACGUCGGGGGGGCUGUGCGCGUUCUGGGUGGGUGGGAGAGGACAGUUUGUGCGAGAUCUGUGGGGCUGUCACGGUAAUUGACGGGGGCGCCUGAAAAGACAGAUGAGCCAGUGCGGACCGGAGGAGGGAGUGAUUGGACUUGCUGUUCGCGCGACUGAAGAGGGAGGGAUAGGCGAAACAGGGGAAAUCGGUAAGGAUGUGGAGGGUCGGAGAACUUGGUUGGGCGGGGAAAGUAGUGGGAGGAGUGGGAGAAGUGUCUGUGUGUCAGGCGGGAACGUCGUGAUUGAGAGGAGCGGGCUGCGGAGGUAUCGGGUGGACUUUACGCAGCCCUCAGCGCCCGUUCAAAUUUCCGCCGAGCGUGCCCUGCCUCUCAUGGGGCGAGCCAUCGCGCUGCGUAGCGGGGAGGUUUCUCUGAGUUUACACGCAGCUCACACACGCGGCUUCCCAAACAGCGCGCGCACGACUAUGCACUCCCACUCACGCGGCGCGCCAACCGUCAGCCUCCGCCAUGCCCCCGCCGUGCUCUGUCGCAGCUUCCCACACGCCUCGCUGUCCAACUAUGCGUUCCCAAUCGCGCCGCGCGCCAACCACCACGCCACGCGCCCCCCUGUUCGUUGGCAGUUGCGCGAAAGCCCGUUUGUGAUCCCCGUGUGUCAGUUAAAGUGUUGGUAGUUGCGAGGAUUGCCGCGCCGCACGCCGCACGUGCAACGUACACGCAUCACCACUGCUGCUUGCCUGGUGACGCCUGGGCACAUACUGGAAGGUGGGCAACGACCCCGGAAAACCAGAGCACACGUGUCCCCGCAUCCGGAUGUUCACUCUGUUAUUUUAAGUGCUCCACAGCCUCCACUUCAAAGCGCAAGUACCGCGAUCAAAGCACACUCUGUAUGUCGCAGUGAUCAACUCAUGAACCUGCCCCCAGCAAACCAACGGCCUCCUCCGUUAUCAACACAGCAUGCAAAUGCGCAUUAGAACUGGUUCAGCGUCAGUAGCGUCUCAGCUUGCAUCGUACACGACGCCCGCAACUCCCCUACACUCACAGUUGCACAACACGCAACUCUCCAUCCAAAGUGCACCAAGGCUUUUUUCAGCCGUGCAAGGCGCCUCACUGCAAUCAUGCGGCAUGCGGGGCGAGCCUAACACGCAACCCUGCGCAAACUGCUGCGGACAGCCCGCACCGUAGCGCAGCUUCCUUCAAAUGGCCCCCAGCCCCGCACCGAAUUGUAACAGCCAUCCCUGCGGCUUUACCGCAGCUGCGCCUCCGCCGCCUCGUGGAUAAAAGGGAUGCGCGCCCAUUGCCCCAGCAUGCUGGACACGAUGCCGAACACCACCCACAUGGUGAUGAAAAUCCAGAUGAAGCUCUGCGACUGAAUGUACACUUGCGCGCCCCAGCCGGACGUGGGCGGCGUCAGGACCGUCUCCAGCAGGCGCGGCAGCACAAGGAUGAUGUCCAGCAGAAUGGCCUGGACGGCGUUGAAGCGCACGAAUCGGCUGAGGCUGGGGUUGUUCACCACGCCCAGGUACAGGCCAAAGAAGACGAUGAAGGAGCCGAAAGGCAGGGAGUGGUACAGGCUCAUGGCGGGCAGGAACGGCGUUAUGCACGCCUUCGCCGCGGGGUACAUGUGGAACAGGUAGCGACCAUACUGCACUGCGUCGAAGUACGGCAGGAUGUAGGGCAGCGCAGCCAGGACGCGGUCCACGAUGCCGGGCGUGGAGCUGUAGCCCCGGCCCCCGCCGGGCGCCGAGUAUCCGCCGCUGCGCGCGUGCACGGUCACGGCCCCCUCACGAGCCGGGCGGCGCAUGGCUUGAGCUCCGAUGGGGCGAAAAGGCAGGCUCGCACAGCCUAGAGCGCGAGGGCGCGCUGGCGUCGCCAGGGUGCGAUGGGAUGCGAGCGCCUGCAUGGCUACUGCUCGGGAGCUACGGUGUACUCGGGUUGUAAAUCUUUGGUAAAAGGUUAACUUCCAGUGUCAGUGAACGGCAGGACUGCAGCCGAAAGACUUCCAUGCAAUGGGACUGCAAUUGCUGUUCUUUCUCAGAUAGGUCUUCCAGCUUCGACUGUGGCGUAGAGCUGUAACUCAAUUCCCAUUAUCCAACAAACAUGGCAGAGCACGGGUUGAAGAUAGCAGUGGUGGGUCCUCAGAGGACUGGGAAGACGCUGCUGUGCCGAGCGCUAGCGGAGCAGCCUAUCCUCCUUGGAGAAAUGUCAUACCAGCCUACGGCUGCAGUCAGGUCAGUGGUGUCGCUUUGUCCUGGGCCGCGCAUGUGCUCAAAUGUCGUUUGCCAACGUCUCCCUCUGCGACCGGUGCUGCUCUCGGUGUGUAAUGCUUUCUGAAUCCCUGCAGGAUCCAAGAAAUCAGUCGCGUGCUGGGCAUUGACCGCGUCAAGGUCCAGUUCUGGGACGUGUCGGGGAGCGUGCAGUACCAGUCCUACUGGCCGGUGCUCGCCAAGGUGCGCUUGAUGGAACGGUGCACGGGUCUGACGGCAAGGUGCACGUUUGGAUCUAGCACUGACAUGGGGUAGGGGGGCUGGGCUUGGAAUGGGCAGGGUUGGUUGCCAAGCACAGUAGGUCUCAGGCAUGCGGCCAUCCGCGUGCUGUUCCGCAGGAGGUGGACGGCCUGCUGAUGGUCAUUGACCCCAACCGGCCAGAGCAAGAGCGCGACCUGGAGACCUUCUACCGGAACUUUGCAGAGCCCAACAACCUAUACACGCGCCAGUGCAUGGUCAUGGCCAUUCAAGUGCAGAAGGAGGGCGGCGGCCUGGGCGGCUGGCAAGGUGCGCCGCUGGCGGGGGACAGUAGCCGCACACAUAUGCACAGGCUAGCAGCCUGUCCAGUGAACGUGCGUGCUGCUUGCCAUAGUUUUAACGUGCUAAAGCGUAGCGAUGUGUUCACCCUGUACGUGUGCAGGCCUUCAGGGCGGGUUGAAAAAGUUGUCGCAGUCUUACGUGGCCAUCAACCCUGCCAACCCCGCUGCCGGCGUGCAAGUAAGUCUGGUAUCACCGAACAGCACACGUGCGAAACAUAUCGCUUAUGUGACUUCUGCGGCGGCGCACUGUCGUGCUCAGGGCAGGUACCCGUAGUUGGAACGAUGCACGCUAGCCUGCUGCAAGCACCAACGCUGCCGACGACGCCAACCCGCUGCAGGAGGCAUACUCGCAUUUGGACGUCCUAUUCCAGGGUGCGCUACAAAGCAAGAAGGAGGCGCUGGAGAGCUCAUACAUGAACCAGGAGGACCAGUAGUAUGCAGGAUAGCAGCCCCAGCGCUUCCAACUGCCCUGAGAGGAUACGCUUAAUCGCAAGUCGUCUCACGGUGGAGCCAUGUACAUACGGUAGAUACGGAGCCUGUGCGGCAUGACGUGUGAUGGACGCAGGGUGGGCUGCUGCGUUACCAACAGCCCCGUUUACCAACAGCCCCGGGUCAGCGGGGAAGUAAUCGAUGCUAACGCUGCGACGUGUGCUGCAGAGCCGUGGAUGCGGCCUGAGAUGUGGAGGUGUCGCGGUGGGGUGCUUACCGUAUACCGCGUGCUGCUCGAGUCACCGAAUCGCGGCAGAGGAUGACCACGGAUAGCCCCGCUGCGAAAUGCGGGACUUAGGCAUGCGGUCAGGGAUGAGUUACAGGAGUUGCUGAGACCUGGAUAGCUGCGUGCUGUUGAAGUGAGCAAGGCUAAGGGCUGCUGUUGUUGCGAAAGUGCAAAAUACACGCGUGCAGAGGCGAGUGCUGCAAGUGCGGUUGCGAAGGGCGCGUGCCUUGGCCCUUCGUGUUGGCCCUUCAGCAUACCAACUUAAGUGCGCUAACGGGCCCGGCUAUAGGCUGUGACUGCGUGCAUUGGUCUGGUUGGCAAACACGGUAAGGAACGCGGUGUUUGCAGCGAAACGACUGUUGGCAUGCCCCCUGCGCCUGGCAACUCGUGAAUCUCAAAGAGUAUCCAUGUCAUGAUUGUAAUCCAGUGCAUAAUGGCCUGGCCAAAGCGAGCUUGCCUGCCGAGCGAGCACCGCUCAUUCGGCCUCCAUGGGACUCGCCUCGAUACUUGCGCCCCGGUCGCGCACGGAUUUUCCCUCUUUCGCUACUUAGUCGUAGCUCAACACCAAGGUGAAUAUCCACGACCAGUUAGCUCAUUCUAGCCGCCUCUGCGCCCAUCAUAGCCGGCUCAUUGUUUUGCGCUGUCCCUCUCGUCGCAGAACAAUGGCCGAUCGCGGUGGUGAGCGUGCAGAGCGCGGUGAGCGUGGCUCUUUCGGCCGCGGCUUCGGCGGCCGUGGCGACCGCGGCCGUGGCCGGGGUGCUCGCCGCGCUCGCGGCAAGAAGGAGGACGAGGAGAAGUGGGUGCCCUGCACCAAGCUGGGCCGCCUCGUCCAGCAGGUCAGCAGUGCUUUAGCAUAUGCAGGUCGCUUUAUAUGAUGCAGCUGGGGAGUUGGCGAAAAUGCUGCCGCCGCCGCUGUGUGUCGCAGUCGCUCGCUGGCGCCGGGGCUGGUCGCUUGCACGCAUGGCGCACGCAAAUAUGAUUUUGAAGCUGAAAUGGGGCUGUGCUGGCUCACAGGGCAAGAUUAAGUCGCUGGAGCAGAUCUACCUGUUCUCCAUGCCCGUCAAGGAGUACCAGAUUGUUGAGUACUUCCUGGGCUCGGCUCUGAAGGACGAGGUGAUGAAGAUCAUGCCCGUGCAGAAGCAGACCCGCGCCGGCCAGCGCACCCGCUUCAAGGUGGGCGGGGACACGCGGGGAGGGGAGGGCAGGGGGCGGGGGUGGGGGUAUGGCCACGUGGGAAGCCCAAGGGUGGUGAUUGCACGCCUCUCUGCUCGCCCCAUUCUUUUGCUUCAAGCUCUGCGGUUUAAAUCGCUUACAGGCCUUCGUCGUGGUUGGUGACUUCAACGGCCACAUCGGCCUGGGCGUCAAGUGCGCCAAGGAGGUGAGCUGGCGUGACCGCGAGGGCGGCCCGGGGCUGAUCUGGCGGAGCCUCACGCAGCUGUUGGAAAGCUGGAUUUACAGGGUGGUGUUUCAGGGCAAGAAAUGGGGGCUUGCUUGCCAGCCUAGCGUGGGGUGGGCGUGAGGCUCUUGGGUGUGGAUUCGUGCAUGUGCCGUCCAGAGCCAUGCUGGGCGGCACAGGAUGGCGGCUUCAUCAGCACAUCAUCAGCACAGUCAAGGCGUGUCCAUCGAUGGCCAGAAGCUGUGCAGACUAGUUGCAUGUGCUUUGUCAUAUGGAUGGUGUUUUAGGGCCAUGGUCCUGUCCGCAACCACAAACCCGCCGCUGCAAUCGCCCUCGCUAUCGCCCUCGCACAGGUUGCCACCGCCAUCCGCGGUGCCAUCAUCCAGGCCAAGAUGUCCGUCGUGCCCGUCCGCCGCGGCUACUGGGGUAACAAGAUCGGCAAGGUGCACACCGUGCCCACCAAGGUCACCGGCAAGUGCGGCUCGGUCACCAUUCGCCUGACCCCCGCCCCCCGUGGUGCCGGUAUCGUGGCCGCCCGCACCCCCAAGAAGGUGCUGCAGAUGGCCGGUAUUGAGGACUGCUACACCUGCUCGCGCGGCUCCACCAAGACCCUGGGCAACUUCGUGCGCGCCACCUUCAACGCGCUGUCGAGGACCUACGGCUUCCUGACCCCCGAGCUGUGGCGCGAGAGCAAGUACACCAAGGCGCCCUUCCAGGAGUUCACCGACUUCCUGGCCAAGCCCCACAUUGGCGAGUCCAAGGGCGAGGCGUACGCCUACUAAGCGACCCUCUCCUGGCGCCCGCCGUGCCCUACGGUGACGCAAAUGACGAACUACCAAGUUGGCGGCGAGCGGCCGGAGCGCUGCCGACUGGCCCUGCCCAUCGCCGUCUCCCCGAAUUCGCCAGCGGCUGGCGAAGGCCCCCAUGCAGGCGUGCUGUAACC
rnacentral:lncRNA from 1 species